rnacentral:lncRNA from 1 species
UUCUUCCAUAGAAAGUGCUCAACUUCUGUCAAAGAGUUGUGAGAUACGUUUAAGUAAGUCAAAGAGCCAUUCCCCACCUCUUGCAUCCACUGUGGAAUCUUGCCUUCAAUUUUGUUGCAAGAGAGGUCUAAGCUUUCCAAACUUUUAAGCCCUUUUAAAAAUUGGGGGAAUUCACUAAGAUUGCAAGAUGACAAAAGUAAGUCUGUAACAUUAGGCAAUAUAUGAUUAACACUAGAUGUAGUAUUAGAUGUUAAGGAUAGGCUGUUAUAUGAAAGGUCGAGAUGUUUUAGAUUUGGAAGGUUUGAGAACAUGCGAAACUCUAUGACACCACUAAGAUUAUUUGAGGAUAAAAGGAGCCAGGUAAGAUUGAGAAGUUGGAAUAUUGAAGAUGGAAGGGGACCUUGGAGUUUAUUAUUUUCUAGAUCUAAAUAUUCUAGUGAUUUGGUUUGGAAUUCUUUGAUAUGCCCACUGAAUUGAUUUUGAGAGAGAAUUAUACCCUUUAAGGAGGGAGCAGUAUACAACCAUGACGGAAGUGUUCCAUUGAGUAAAUUGUCAUAUAAGACUAAAUAUAUUAGAUUCGGAACAGCGGUUACCUCAUCUGGAAUAGAACCUUCUAAAGAAUUUUCAGAUAUUUCCAAGUAUUCCAACUGCGUUAGGUUUAGAAUUGACAAUGGAAUUUGUCCACUCAAUUUAUUUGAUCCCAAGUCUAAAUGAGUGAGUUGCAAGAGGUUUCCAAGUGAUCUUGGAACCGGUCCUGAUAAGUUGGAAUAGGAGAGAUCUAAAAACUUCAAGGACACAAGAUUCCCCAUCGAGUCAGGCAAUCCUCCAAAAAAAUUUGCGCCUCUAAGAAUCAAGUACUCCAAAGAUGAUAAAUUUGUGAUUGAGACAGACAAUCCUUGAAAGAAAGAAAUUCCUGAUAGAUCUAAGUACUUUAAGGCCCGUAGAUUAUCAACCGAAUCAAUGAAUUCUGUAGAGAAGGACAUCCUCGACAGAUCCAAAUGUUCGAGAUUGCUGCUCCGGUUCAACUUCAAAGGAUCAAGAUUGAGGUUUUGGUUGCCUCCCAAGUUGAGGAGAUUGAGGUUUGGCAAAUCAAAAAUGUUUUUUGGGAAUUUUCCUUGCAAAUCACAACCAGCAAGACUGAGAGACCUUAGAGAAGAGGAUAGAUUCAUGAAGACAUGAGCAUUAACAUAAGACAUGUCCAUUCCACCCAAAAAUAGAUGUCUGACAUCGGUUAGGUUGUGAACAAGUCCCUCCAGAGCAUGUUUGUCAAUUGUUUGUUCACCAAACACAGAGGAGGAGAGAUCAAGUGAAACCAAUUUUGACAGGUGGGAGACUUGGGAUGGGACUUCUCCUGCAAACCCUGUAUAAGAAAGGUUGAGGUAGAAUAGGCUAGUAAACCGACCGAACUCGGAUGGAAUUUUGGAAAGAUUAAAAUCAUUGUAGGCAAGGUUGAGUUUUUGAAGGUGAGGAAGAAGGAAGAGAGUGGUAUUGGAAGGGAAGUUGCCAUAUAGCCAACUGCAGCUCAAGUCAAGGGCAAUAACAUGAGCAUUUAGGUGGUCACAAGUGACCCCAUCCCAUGAGCAGCAAUCUGUACCCUCCUUCCAUGAAUUUGUCUUGGGAUAAGAUUUAAGGCCAGCAUAAUCAUUGCAAUAAGAAGAAACAUCCUCUGUUACGGAAAAAGAGUCCUUAAACUGGAUUAGGGAAGAGCAGGAGUGAGAUCCUGAAGAAGAAAAAGAAGCAUAAAGAUGGGGAAAGAAGAGGAAUAGGCAGAGAAAGAGAUAGGGGGCCAUGUUAUGUUUGUAGAGAAAGAAGAAGGAUAGGAAUGGUAUUUGUAGGCAACAAAUAGUACCACAACAUUGGUGUUACAGUAUUUUUUUUUUCUUUUACAUUGAAAAGCUAUGGAUAUUAGAUUUUCAAAAAUUUUGUAUUUUUCACCAUCAUCAACAACCACUUAGUCUUCUUUUUACCAUAUAUUUUUCAUUCUAUUUUUUUAACAAAAUCUUGUAUUUCAUUUCAGCUUUCAAAACAACUAAAAAAUUUAAAAUUGAUGAAAUUACAAAGUAGAUUGACUUAGUCUUCUUUCCUAUAACAUUUAAAAGAAUAUCUUGUCAACCAAAGUUAAUUAAUGUGAAAAUUCUUUUUCACACAAAAGAACAAAAUUGUGCUCUAUUCACUAAGUUAGAGGAAAAAGACUGCUAGAUUUUUUAAUUAUUUUUUCUUUGAAAAAUUUGAAAGUUUUUUACUGCCUUUAAGCCAAUAAAAAAAACAUGUAUUAAUUUUGUUUUUAAAAAUAGUGUGUUUGAUUGUGAAAUGAUUCAUCAUCCUCCACCACAAACUAUCCAUAUUUGCAGUGUGAAAGCAGCUACUUUCAUAAAGAAAUUACUUAGGAGAUGGGAUCCACCAAUUUUACCUAAACUCGCAUCAACAUUGUUUAGCAAUUUCAAAAUAGACUAAUUAGUCUGGUUCAAAUACCAAGACUACAAUAUCUAUUCACUUCACUUGGUCUUGCUUCCUAUCGCUGUCAGCCAAACUUGAUCGACUAGCAGUAAGGAAAUUUCAGUCAUUUGCAGCAUAAUGUACAAGAAUUCCACUCCCGCAAAAUAAUUUACAAUAUGGACUAACACACUAAAAAUGAUUUUUAAAAAAUGAUUUUUAGAAAGUAAUUUUUGAAAAAUGGUUAGAAGAUAAUUUUUGUUUCUGAAAUAGUUAAUUUUUUUUGGUGUUUAGAUAAAUUUUGUUAUGUUUUCAUUGUUUACUUGAGUUUAUUUCAUAAAGCUUAUGUAUAUAUUUUAAUUAAUCAUGUUUUAGUUUUAAUUAAUCUUAAUUUACUUAAUUAAGCUUAAUUGUUAACUUCGUACAUUAGAAUAUAAAUUUAUGUUUAAUUAAGUUGAAAGUGAUAAAUAUUUAUUUUGAAUAUUAUUUGGAUAAGUUGAAAAAUGAUUUAAUUUGAUAAAAUUGAAGUCAGGGUCAUAGAACUAUGCUUUUUACUGACAAAAUCUUAGAUGCAGUGAUUAUUGAGACUAAAAAAUGAAAGUCAUGAAAGAAGACAUAAAUAGUUGAACCAUACAAAAUGUUACAUUUUGUAAUGCAAUGAAAUAUAGAUGAAUUGUUACAAAUAUAAAGACAGAUGCAUUGCAAUGCAACCUUUCUCCAUAGGAAAAAAAAUUUGACAGACUUCAAAACAAGAAAUUAUGAAGAUACAACAUACACACUUGAACAUCAUUUCCACUAACUAGAUCCUUCUUCGUCCAUUGCUGCGACUGCCAUCCUUUGACUUUCUUCUUCGCUACUUCUCAUGUUGGAUUCAACCAAAUUCACCAACCAUUUUGGCUUACUAAUUUGGAAAACAACAUAUCCCACGACCAUUCCAAACACUACUCCGCAUCCAUAACCUAUCAACACCAAUUUCCAACCAAAAGAGAUGUUUGAUUUUGAACCAUCUUUUCCAAGCACAUUUGGAGGUGGUGGCUCAAUGAUGUUGCAACCUUUUGAGACCGGAAAUCCACAUAAUCCCUUGUUUCCUUCAUAUGAAUCAUUUCCAUAUGUGUUGAACUGUUUGCCUUGAGGAAUCUGACCAUGGAGUUGAUUUUCAGAAACAUUGAAGGACGAAAGAAAUGCCAGAUCUGCAAAUCUAUUUCGAAUUGUCCCUGACAACCUGUUUGAAUAUAGGUCCAACCAUUCAAGACUCGUCAAAUUCCCUAUUGAAGUGGGGAUACCACCGUUAUAAACACUGUCAUAUGGCAUGAAUAACAUACUCAUAUAUUUACUGUCACAUGGCAUGAAAAACACACCCUCAUAUUCACUUUCACAUUAGUCAUCAUAAGCUUAUAACAUAUGUCAUAGCAAUCUCAUAUAUAUUCAUAAUUUCACAAUUUCACAAGCGUACAUAUAUCACAUUUAAUCAUAUGCGCGAGAAAACUUACUCUCACUUACUCUUGGAAUUUAGAGUAGGAAUUUAGGCUACCACUAAAUUCUCAUCAAUUAAACAAUGAAUCAUCUACGAGCAACAAUUUCAAACCACAAUGAAUCGAGAGCUCAAACUAGCUCUUCCUCUAACUCGUAGAAGGCUUUAAUGAAUCCGAGGCUUCACACAUGACAAUCACACAAUACUCACAGUCAAAUGACAGCCAAGGACCCACUUAAACUAACCAAAAUAAAAGCCUAAGCUACCUUCUAAUGUAACCAAACCCUUUAGCAUGACGAACUUAAAAUGCAAAUAUAUCAAUCUACACUUAAACAUUUUCACAUGAAACAAGUUUCAGUCAUCCCCCAUAUUCAUUUAUAGCUAAACUCCAAUCUUUAAACCACACAAAACUACAAGUUUCAAGGUAUAACAUUUUUCCACAAAUUUUGACCAUAAUAAUGAAAAUUCAUUAAAACACGGGAAAUCUAUAAUGAAACUUAGAAGUAAUUUUAAAAAACUUCUAAUUAAGUUAAAACAAGUUGAAAAACACUUUUAAAUCACUUUUUCAUCCACAAUCUCGAAUUCCACCAUUAAUGACCCAAUUUUUAGGUUUAAAUUAAAACAUGCAAUUUCAUAACUAAAAUCUCAAUUUUAAAGUCUAGAUAACAUUAAAAACUAAUGAGAAAGUAAAUGGUUACCUUUGAUGAAAGAUUAAACGAGUUUUGAAGUAAAUUUGAAAAACCCACAAUUGAAGAAGAAGAUGAAAUCUAUGGCGUUUUUGAGUGUUUUUCUUGGAAUUAUAAGAAAUCAAAGUACUAUUGUUUGGGAAUAAAAAUUAAUUGAAAGAUCAAGGGAAUAGCAAAGGACGGCAAUAGCAAACUUUGGAGAGUAACUAUUGUGAAAUAGAACAGGGAAUGGGGUUUAUUAGGUUCAAUUUAAAACAUUGGUAAAACUUCAAUCUAAGUGCUCACUAUUUUAACUUUGUUACAAAUUAGUUCUUUUUCUAAAUUUUAGGUAUUUAAAACUCAUUUUCAGAAAUCGGCUCAAUUCCCUAAUAGCCAUUGUCGAAAACAUUAUUGAAUACUAACCUUACGAAAUUUUGAUUACAUAUAGGCUAAAAUUCCUAAAAAAAAAUUGAAACUCUUAGAUCCUAUUUUGGGGUGUUCACGUAUGGUCAUGAUUCAUGUUGAAUUAAUACAUCAUUCACCGUAAUAAGGCUUAUCGUUGUAAUAAUUAGUUAAAUCACCUAAUAUCUAAAAAAUUAUUAUUAUUUUCAUAAAAUCAUUGAUCAAAUUAUUGUUUUCAAAUUUCAUACAUAAAAUUAACAAAUAAAGAUAGCUCUAAAUAGCAAAACCCAAUAUGUGUAACAAGUAUUUUUAUUAAUCCAUUUGGAAUGUUAAGGUUUGCUGGAGCAAAUAAAUUGAUUAAUGCUUUGAACUUUCCAAACACUUUUUAUAGUUUUGUUAUAUGCAUUUUGUAUAAUUAGUAUAUUUGAAUAUAUUAGAUACAUCGUCUAAAACAAUGCCAAUUGUAAUUUUUUUAUAUUUUGUUGAUCAUAAGCGUAUUAUAUAAAUAAUUUAAAAAAAAAAAGAUGGAGUGAUACAUUUAUGUAGUGCUUAUGAAUAUAAUGUUGGAUUAAAAUCCUUAAUUAUGAGUACAUAUGUAUAUGCUUGAUAUUACAAUUAUCUUAAUAAUUUUGUUUCUGUUCUUGUUGAUUGAUGAUUAUAGAAAUCAUUAUUCUUCUGAAGGCAUACUUUGUUGUCAAUGACAGUACCUGCACCCUAAAAAAGUCACCAGCUUUAACGACUACAAAAGUUGUCCUGCCUGAUAUUUAUUAAAAAAUCACCAGGAAGCACAUUGUCAGGACAUCCUUGCUGGAAAAAAACUUGGUAGGAUGGUUUUUCUGUGCAAACUUAGUAAUUAAUUUAUGUUGUUUUUACCAAACUUUGUAGCGUUUCACUUUUGGUAAAAUUUCAUCCUUGGUCCCUUUAAACUCCUUUUUGCUUUAAUUUGAUUGCUUUCUAGCGUUGCAAAUUACAUAACACUCUUCAAAUGUCUUAUUAAAUUCUCACUUUUACGAGUGCUAUGUUAAUCAAUUUUAAGUUCCAUAUAACACUUACAUGGCUACAAAAUGUGUGUGUGUGUAAGUGUCCUCAACCACAAACAAUCCAAAUUUGCUGAGAAACCACCCAUUAUAUAUAGGUUUGCCAAUGAGAUGGCAAGCAGACUGCUAGCUAGAAAUUCAUGCAUCUUUGAAUCACCAAUUCAAUUAAUAAGCUUAACUAGAGGAAAUAAGGACUUUACACCACCAAUUAAAGCAACCUAUAUGUACCCUUUUACAGUCUGCAUUGUUCCAUGUUUCCAUUCAUUACAUCAUUCCUUCAACUCUGCUAUAUAUUAUUACCGUCUCCAGAAAACCAAACCUUUUACUGCUAACUUGUAAAAAAAUUAUGAAAAUACAACAGAGAUCAUUGAGACAUUGUUGAAGUUGGCUUGCAUGCAGACCAAGAAGCACACCAAGCUGUCCGAGAUAUGCAAGUUGCAGCUGAAGCUUAUGCUGCUGUUUUGUUACUUUCAAAUAGAUAUUUUAUUAUUUACUUAGAUAUGAACUAAGUUGCUGAUAUGCUUGAUGUAAUUAGGAGCUGAUAGAUUGAUAAAUCAGCUUUACCAAGUGUACAAGCAAUGUUUAUCAAGUUACUAAGCCACUUAGUGGAGUUAGGUAUGUGUUUAGGUAACAUUUUCUUAUUUUUGACCAGCUGAUUGCUUGCUAUAUGUAAUGGCAUUGUGCCUUCAUUCAAAUGUAAAGAAAUCUUUCAGAAAAUUCUUCUUCAUUUGGUCUUUACCUAAGCAUUUUUUUUCACGAAGCUCUUGCUGUUUUUGUUUUGUUUGUUGAGCAAGAUAACAAUGCUUUAUGCUUAAGUUUCUGUCAAAAUUUCUCAUUCUGUUUUCUUAGUUCCUACAGACAUUUUGUUCUCCUUUCUCCUUUACUGAGCAGUAGCAAAGAUUAUCGAGACUAAAUUGAAAUCCAUGAAAGAAGACAUAAACAACACCACCAUACAAAAUGUCACACUCAAACAAACCAUUACAGAUACGAAAUGCAAUGAAAGACAGAGGAAUUGGUACAAUAAUAAAGACAGCCAGAUACCAAUGCAACCCUUCACCAUAGGCAAAACGGUCUACAAACAAGAAAUUAUGAAAAAUACAACACUAAUUCUUGAACAUCAUUUGCAGUAAUUAAAUCCUUCUUCGUCUACUGCUGUGAUUGCCUUUCUUUGACUUUCUUCUUCGCCUCUUCUCAUGUUGGUUUUCAACCAAAUUCACCAACCAUUUUGGCUUACCAGUUUGGAAAACAACAUAUCCCACGGACAUUCCGAACACUACUCCGCAUCCAUAACCUAUCAACACCACUUUCCAACCAAAAGCAAUGUUUGAUUUUGAGCCAUCUUUUUCAAGCACAUUUGGAGGUGCUGGAUCAAUGAUGUUGCAACCUUUCGAGACCGGAAACCCACACAGUCCCUUAUUUCCUUCAUAUGAAUCAUUUCCAAAUGUGUUGAAUUGUUUGCCUUGAGGAAUCUGACCAUGGAGUUGAUUUUCAGAAACAUUGAAGGACGAAAGAAAUGGCAGAUCUGCCAAUCUAUUUGGAAUCGUCCCAGACAACCUGUUUGAAGAUAGGUCCAACCAUUCAAGACUUGUCAAAUUCCCUAUUGAGGUGGGGAUAUCACCAAUAAGGUUAUUAUGAGAAAGGUUGAGCCCUUUCAGUAAGUUAAGCUUCCCAAUAACCUUUGGAAUACCCCUUUCAAACUGAUUGUUUGAUAGAUCAAUGAUCAUCCACAUGGUGAAAAUUUUCACCAAUUCCCUAUCUUGUCCUUUCAUAACAAUUCCAAUGGAAUAGGUAUAGAAGCCAACUCCAUAAUCAUGCACCCCCAUGUAUGACACUGUACUACCAAUCUUCUCUAGAUUUAUGAUAGCCUUGAAGCUGUUGAUGUAUCUCACUGGUAGGGGUCCAGAAAAAUAAUUACUUGAGAGAUCAAAAAUUUGGAUUUUAGAGAAAAAAGGGAUAGACUUGGAGCUAUUGACACAUAAGGAACCAUGCAGUUGAUUUGACUUCAAUACAAGAACUUGUAGCUGUGGAAGACUUCCCAACCAGUGAGGAAAUGUAUCAUUGAUCUUGUUGUUACCAAGAUCUAGCACUUCCAGACCUCUACAAUUAAGGAUGGAUGGUGUCAAAGGCCCUUCUAACAGAUUUCCAUUUAAGUUGAAAUUACUCAAUCGGCAUCCCUUUGCAAAUGCUGGAGGAAUCGUCCCAUAAUACUUGUUCUUCUUCAGAUUCAAGAAUAGAAGGCUGUUGCUCAAAUUUCCAAAACAUUGUGGAAUUGUUCCACUCAAGUUAUUGUGGGACAAAUCAAGAAUUUCAAGAAAAGCGGCAUUGCAUAUUAAAGAAGAGACCUCUCCAUUGAAACUAUUAUUUGAGAUCAAAAAGACUCUUAUGGUCGAAGCUGGAAUCGGAAGAUUUCCACUGAUCAAAUUGGAGCUUAAGUCAAGAACAUCAAUAUUCUUCCAUGGAAAGUGCUCAACUUCUGUCAAAGUGUUGUGAGAUACAUUUAAGUGAGUCAAAGAGCCAUUCCCCACCUCUCGCAUCCACUGUGGAAUCUUGCCUUCAAUUUUGUUGCAAGAGAGGUGUUGAAGUAAUGGUCAGCAUGCAGCAACCAAGACUGUCAAAGGCACUACAUGCAGAAGCUGCUGGUUCACCUAGUCAGCAAGCUGUUUAUGUUUCAUUUUGUAAUUUUAAGUUAGAGUAAUGUAACUUAGUUGCUUUAUAACUAUGUUAGGUUUAUGUUUGAUGUAAUUUUGAUGUUGACUGAGCUGAUAAAUCAGCUUUGUUUGUUUAUUCAAGCUAAUUAGCACAAGUUACUAUGUGUAUUAGUGGUAGUAGGUGAAGUUUAGGUCAACCUACUGUUUUGUCAAGAUUGUAAACUUGUUUUAUGUAUUGGCUUUGUGCCAUAUUUAGUUUGAUGAAUGAAUUCAAGAAGUUAUCAUCCAUAUGCUCUCCAUUUUUAGUUUUGCUUAAAAAUCCAUUUGAGUUUUCUGCUUUGUUUCUCCUACAAGUCACGAGACUUGCCAUACAAGCAUUCUGCUGAAGCUUGCUGCUGCUGCCUCUUGCACCAACAAUUGGUAUCUAGAGCCACAUUCUUAGAGGACCUGUUGUAGUUCAGUAUCAAAACGAUGGCAUCAUCAGGUUUUUCACCAGCUUCACCACCUGUCUUCAAUGGAGAGGGCUUCAACAUUUGGGCAGUUAAGAUGAGGACUUACCUGCAGGCAUUCGACCUAUGGGAAGUUGUUAACUCAGAUGCUGAGCCAGCACCUCUUCGAGCUAAUCCAACAGUUGCUCAAAUAAGGCAACACACUGAUGAAAGGACAAAAAGGCACAAGGCCAUGUCAUGCAUACAGAAUUGUGUGACAGAUGUGAUCUUUAUGAGGAUCAUGGCCUGUGAGACACCAAAGGAGGCUUGGGACAAGCUGAAAGAAGAAUUUCAGGGGACUGAGAAAACAAGGCAACAACAGCUGCUCAAUUUGAGAAGAGAUUUCGAAAAUCUCAAAAUGAAAGAGGAAGAAACAGUUAAGCAGUACUCAGACCGGAUUAUGGCUGUUGUAAACAGCAUAAGGCUCCUAGGAGAGCAAUUCAGUGAAGCUAGAAUGGUUGAGAAAGUCAUGUCCACUCUACCAGAGAGGUAUGAAGCUAAAAUUUCAUCCCUCGAAGACUCAAGGGACUUGACAACUAUCUCCUUAACUGAGCUAAUCAAUGCCUUGUAUGCAUAAGAGCAAAGAAGAGCUAGCAGACAAGAGGAGCACCAGGAAGGGGCUUUUCAAGCCAAAGAAGCCUCGAGCAUCAAAACUCAUAAAGGCAAAAAGUUCUGGAAAAACAAGCCUAAGCCUGAUGCUGCUAGGAGCAGUGACCAACUCUGCAGACAUUGUAAAAGAGCUGGUCAUCCAGAAGAUAGAUGCUGGUUUAGACCAGAUGCAGUAUGCCAAAACUGCAAGAAAAAAGGCCAUGUUGAAAAAGUUUGCAAGAAUAGAAGCAAACCAAGACAGAAUCAAUUUCAGCAACAAAAGGUGGAAGCUCGAGUAGCUGAAGAAAGUAGUGAUCAAGAAGAACAUGUUUUUGCUGUGUCAUGUGCAGCAAAUCAGAAGAAGGGUUCAAAGGGCUGGCUUCUAGACAGUGGGUGCACAAACCACAUGUCACCAGAUGCAACUAUCUUCAAAACCCUGGACAGAACCUGCAAAACCAAAGUAAAAAUUGGAAAUGGUCAGUUAAUCAAUGCUGAAGGAAGAGGAGAUGUGCUGAUUCAUACUUCUACAGGUGGCAAAAUCAUUUCAAAUGUACUUUUGGUACCUGAAAUCGAUAGGAACCUUCUCAGUAUAACUCAACUACUUGAGAAAGGUUACUCAGUUGUUUUCAAGGAGAAAGAAUGUCAAAUUUUUGAUCCAAGUGGAUCAAAUCUUAUAACAGUCACCAUGACUGAUAAAUGUUUUGAAGUAGACUGGCCAAAUGACUCACAUUCAGCCUGCAUAGCCUCCACUAAUGACUCGAGACUCUGGCAUCAGAGGCUUGGACAUGCAAACUACAAAUCCAUAGCCCGCAUGGUCAAUGAAGGUCUGGCAGAAAAUUUCAUUGAUUCAGUGAAGAAUGAUGAGCUUUGUGAGAUAUGUCAGCAAGGAAAAUUGGCAAGAUUGCCAUUUCCAACAAGCACAACAUGGAGAGCAUCAGAGAAGCUCCAGCUUGUGCAUACAGAUGUGUGUGGACCAAUGAAGACUGAGUCUCUCAAAGGAAGCAGGUACUUUAUUUUAUUUAUUGAUGACUUAACAAGAUACUGCUGGAUUUAUUUUCUAAAACAGAAAUCAGAAGUACCAUCUAUGUUCCUGAAGUAUAAGGCUGCUGUUGAAACUGAGUCUGGUUGCAAACUUAGAGCAAUGAGGUCAGAUAAUGGAACUGAGUACACCUCAGCUCAGUUCCAAGUCUACUGUGAAGAAGCAGGUAUCAAACACCAGUUGACUAAUGUGUAUACACCCCAACAGAAUGGGGUCAGUGAAAGGAAAAACAGAAGCUUGAUGAACAUGGCAAGAUGUCUUCUGUUUGAGAAGAAUUUGCCCAAAAGUCUGUGGGCUGAAGCUGUUAACACAGCAGUUUAUCUCUAAAAUAGGCUCCCAACCAAGGCUCUGGCUGAGAAGACUCCAUUUGAAGCCUGGUUUGGGUUUAAGCCAUCACUGGCUCAUCUCAGAACCUUUGGUUGUCUGUGCUAUACUCAAGUUCCAGCUGAGAAGAGAAGCAAGCUAGACAAAAGAGCUCAAGCAGGGAUCCUGAUCGGCUACAGCUUGGUUAAGAAGGGCUACAGAAUUCUAGAACCUGCUACAAACAAGAUAUUGGUUAGCAGGGAUGUUGUUUUCAAUGAAAAAGGACACUGGAAUUGGGAGAAGGCUGAACCAGAGGCAGUGGCUGAAGAUCUGGCAGUGGACCAAGUUGAAAAUGGUGAAAACACACCUGAAAUGGAUGUAGAUGAUGUUCCAAUCAGAGGCACUCGAUCACUGGCUGAUGUUUAUGAAAGAGCACAAGUGGCUACUGUUGAACCAAAUUGCUUUGAAGAAGCAGAAAACCAGGAGGACUGGAAGCAAGCAAUGAUUGAAGAAAUCAGAAUGAUUGAAAAGAAUCAGACCUGGAGUCUGGUUGAUAAACCAACAAACAGGAAGAUUAUUGGUGUCAAAUGGGUUUAUCGAGUAAAGAACAAUGCUGAUGGUAGCCUAAACAAGUUAAAGGCUAGAUUGGUUGUGAAAGGCUUCAGUCAAAGGUAUGGAUCAGACUACCUGGAAACCUUUGCACCAGUGGCCAGGUUAGACACUAUUAGACUGCUAGUUGCCUUAGCAGCACAAAAACAGUGGCUGAUACACCAACUUGAUGUAAAAUCAGCAUUUCUGAAUGGAUUCCUUGAAGAGGAGAUUUAUGUGGAGCAACCUCAAGGUUUCAAGGUGUCUGGCAAAGAAGAUAUGGUGUACAAGCUCAACAAAGCCUUGUAUGGCUUGAAACAGGCUCCAAGGGCCUGGUAUAGCAGAAUAGAUGGCUAUCUGACCAGUCAAGGAUUUGAAAGAAGUCUUAGCGAGCCAACUCUGUAUGUUAAAUCAACUAGUGCUGAAACUCAGCUCAUUGUCUCAAUAUAUGUCGAUGACCUACUGGUGACAGGAGGAGAUCAUGAGAUGCUAAGCAGUUUUAAAGUCAAAAUGCAACAGCACUUUGAAAUGUCAGACUUGGGAUUGAUGUCUUACUUCUUAGGCAUGGAAGUAACUCAAGCUAAGAAUGGGAUUUGGCUAAGUCAAAAGACCUUUGCUAUGAAGGUUCUCAACAAAUUCUCAAUGGAGAAUUGCAAAGCAACCAGCACACCAGUUGCUGUUGGAGAAAAACUCUCGAGCCAAGACAAGCAUGAAAAGGUUUGUGAAACAACCUAUCGAAGUCUAGUUAGAUGUUUGUUGUAUUUGACUGCUACUAGACCUGACAUAAUGUAUGCUGUGAGUCUACUCUCGAGGUUUAUGCAUUCUUCAAAUGAAAGUCAUUUUAGAGCUGCAAAAAGGGUUCUAAGAUACAUCAAAGGAACUUUGUCCUAUGGAAUGCAGUUUACCAAGGCUGAGAACUUGAGGCUAGUUGGAUAUUGUGACAGUGAUUGGGCUGGUUCUUUGGAUGACAUGAAGAGCACUACAGGUUAUGCAUUCAACAUAGGCUCUGCUAUGAUAUGCUGGAGCUCAAAGAAGCAAGGAGUAGUGGCUCAGUCGACUGCAGAAGCAGAAUAUGUGGCUGCUGCUGCAGCAGUCAAUCAAGCCAUAUGGCUUAGAAAAAUUUUGAAAGAUAUCAAUCAUGAGCAAAAGGAAGCAACUGAGAUAAUGUCUGACAACCAAUCAGCAGUUGCUAUUGCAAAGAAUCCUGUUUUUCAUGGAAGGACCAAGCACUUCAACAUCAAACUUCAUGCAGUUCGGGAAAUGGAACAAGCUCAUGUUGUUAAGCUGAUACAUUGCAGUUCUGAAGAGCAAAUUACUGAUAUUUUAACAAAAGCACUAAGUGUUUCCAAGUUUCAACACCUGAGAGCUAAUAUGGGAGUUUGCAACAUGCUAACCAAGGAGGAGUGUUGAAGUAAUGGUCAGCAUGCAGCAACCAAGACUGUCAAAGGCACUACAUGCAGAAGCUGCUGGUUCACCUAGUCAGCAAGCUGUUUAUGUUUCAUUUUGUAAUUUUAAGUUAGAGUAAUGUAACUUAGUUGCUUUAUAACUAUGUUAGGUUUAUGUUUGAUGUAAUUUUGAUGUUGACUGAGCUGAUAAAUCAGCUUUGUUUGUUUAUUCAAGCUAAUUAGCACAAGUUACUAUGUGUAUUAGUGGUAGUAGGUGAAGUUUAGGUCAACCUACUGUUUUGUCAAGAUUGUAAACUUGUUUUAUGUAUUGGCUUUGUGCCAUAUUUAGUUUGAUGAAUGAAUUCAAGAAGUUAUCAUCCAUAUGCUCUCCAUUUUUAGUUUUGCUUAAAAAUCCAUUUGAGUUUUCUGCUUUGUUUCUCCUACAAGUCACGAGACUUGCCAUACAAGCAUUCUGCUGAAGCUUGCUGCUGCUGCCUCUUGCACCAACAAGAGGUCUAAGCUUUCCAAACUUUUAAGCCCUUUUAAAAAUUGGGGGAAUUCACUAAGAUUGCAAGAUGACAAAAAUAAGCUUGUAAGAUUAACAGUAGAAGUUGUAUUAGAUGUUAAGGAUAGGCUGUUAUAUGAAAGGUCAAGAUAUUCGAGAUUUGGAAGGUUUGAGAACAUGCGAAACUCUAUGACACCACUAAGAUAAUUUGAGGAUAAGCUAAGUUGGGUAAGAUUGAGAAGUUGGAAUAUUGAAGAUGGAAGAGGACCUUGGAGUUUAUUAUUCUCUAACCAUAUCCAUUCUAGUGAUUUGGAUUGGAAUUCUUUGAUAUGCCCACUGAAUUGAUUUUGAGAGAGAUAUAUUGUCUUUAAGGAGGGAGCAAUAUACAACCAUGACGGAAGUGUUCCAUUGAGUAAAUUGUCAGAUAAGUCUAAAUAUAUUAGAUUAUGAAAAGCGGUUACCUCAUCUGGAAUGGAACCUUCUAAAGAAUUGUUAGAUAUUGUCAAGUAUUCCAGCUGCGUUAGGUUUAGAAUUGACAAUGGAAUUUGUCCACUCAAUUUGUUCCAUCCCAAGUCUAAAACAGUGAGUUGCAAGAGGUUCCCCAAUGAUCUUGGAAUCUGUCCACUCAAUUGGUUCAGCCACAAGUCUAAAUGAGUGAGUUGCAAGAGGUUCCCUAAUGAUCUUGGAAUUUGUCCACUCAAUUGGUUCUUCGACAAGUCUAAAUGAGUGAGUUGCAAGAGGUUCCCCAAUUUUCUUGGAAUUUGUCCACUCAAUUGGUUCUCCGACAAGUCUAAAUGAGUGAGUUUCAAGAGAUUCCCCAGUGAUCUUGGAACCAGUCCUGAUAAGUUGGAAUGGGAGAGAACUAAAAACUUCAAGGACACAAGAUUCCCCAUCGAGUCAGGCAAUCCUCCACAAAUAUUUGCGUCUGAAAUUAUCAAUUGUUCAAGAUUGCUGCUCCGAUUGAACUUCAAAGGAUCAAGAUUGAGGUUUUGGUUGCCUCCCAAGUUGAGGAGAUUGAGGUUUGGCAAAUCAAAAAUGUUUUUUGGGAAUUUUCCUUGCAAAUCACAACCAACAAGACUGAGAGACCUUAGAGAAGAGGAUAGAUUCAUGAAGACAUGAGCAUUAACUGAAGACAUGUCCAUUUCAUCCAAAAACAGACGUCUGACCUCGGUUAGGUUGUGAACAAGACCCUCCAGAGCAUAUUUGUCAAUUGUUAAUAGUUCAUCAAACCCAGAAAGAUCAAGUGAAACCAAUUUUGACAGGUGGGAGACUUGGGAUGGGACUUCUGAAAACCAUGUAUUGGAAAGGUUGAGGUAGAAUAGGCUUGUAAACCGACCGAACUCGGAUGGAAUUUUGGAAGAAUUAAAAUCAUUGUAGGCAAGGUUGAGUUUUUGAAGGUGAGGAAGAAGGAAGAGAGUGGUAUUGGAAGGGAAGGUGCCAUAUAGCCAACUGCAGCUCAAGUCAAGGGCAAUAACAUGAGCAUUUAGGUGGUCACAAGUGACCCCAUCCCAUGAGCAGCAAUCUGUACCCUCCUUCCAUGAAUUUGUCUUGGGAUAAGAUUUAAGGCCAGCAAAAUAAUCGCAAUGAUCAAAAGAAGCAUCCUCUCUUAUGGAAAAGGAGUCCUUAAACUGGAUUAGUGAAGAGCAGGAGUGAGAUCCUGAAGAAGAAAAAGAAGCAUAAAGAUGGAGAAAGAAGAGGAAUAGGGAGAGAAAGAGAUAGGAGGCCAUGUUAUGUUGGUAGAGGAAGAUGAAGGAUAGGAAUGGUAUUUAUAGGCAACAAAUAAUACCACAACAUUGGUGUUACAGUCUUUUUUCUUUUACAUUGAAAAGCUAUGGAUAUUAGAUUUUCAAAAUUUUUGUAUUUUUCACAAUCAUCAACAACCACUUUGUCUUCAUUUUACCAUAUAUUUUUCAUUCUUAAAAUUGGAUUAUUUUCUUUUAGCAAAAUCUUGUAUUUCAUUUGAACUCCCUAAACAACUAAAAAAUUAAGAUUGAUAAAAUUACAAAGUAGAUUGACUUAGUCUUCUUCCUUGUAACACGUAAAGAAUUUCCACGCAAAAGAACAAAAUUGUGCUCUAUUCUUUACGUUUGAGGAAGAAGACUGCUGGAAUUUUAAUCCACUGAUUCCAUAAAAACGUGUAUACUUAUAUAUAUAUAUAUUUAUAACCUCAUAAUUUAAAUCUAAAAUCUCAUUUGUUAUAAAUUCUGAUAAAUUUAUUUGGGAAUUGCUAUUUUUCAUUCGUUAAUUAUUUCUCUUUUAAUCGAGUAAAAAAUUAAAACUAAAGACAUAAUGAUUUAUUUGGUAUUUUUUAACUUCGCAAACGAAAAAUUAUUUUAGCUUUCUAUUUUUUUUUAUCUCUUUUAGUCUUGAAAUUUAUAUGGUUCAUUAAAUCACCCAAAAAAAUGAUGAAAAAAAUAACAAAACUAGCACCUACGUGGCUGAUGUUGACCCUUAAUAGUUAAUGGCAACACCUAUGUAGUUGUUAACAGAUACCACACCAACACUGUUUGUUGACGUGACAAUGCCACAUGAUCAAUAAUCGCAGACAUGGUAGCGCCACGCCAUCGCCCAUUGAUGACAUAUUAACCUUUGAGUUAAACUCAAAUAAUUUGGUCCCAAAUAGUUUUCAACACAAAAGAAUAGAGGAAGAAGACUGCUACAGGUUUAACUAUCAAUUGUCUAUUGACUAUACUUUUAACUCCACUAAAAAAGACCAAGACUAAGACUAUCAAUUGUCUAUUGACUACACUUUAACUCGACAAAAAAAGACCAAGACUAAGACUAUCAAUUGUCUAUUGGCUUCACACUUGCUGUUGCUUCCUCCUAUUUCUCUCACCCAAACUUAAUUUACAAGCAAUGUGGAAAUUUUGGACAUUUGCCCACAACGUACAAUACUUCCACACCAUUUGCAGUAUUGACUACGUUUACUUGAGGGAAAACAAAGACAUGAACGCUGGAAAUUUUAACUAGUUUGUACCGUCAAUGAAGCUACGUACCUAAAAGCCAUUUAGGAUAUCAAUUCCUGUAAUUGGAGUAAUCUCAUCGUUGCUGCAAUCUUUUGACAGUUUAAUCGAAUCUUAAAUAUGUUACUCUGCAAUGCUAUUGUAAAUAUUUUUCUUAAAUUUGUCGAUAGAUUUAUAGGUUUGGCACAAAAUUAAGAAUACACAAAGGCAGGUUGAAUUAUUCCAUGUUUGAACAUCUGCAACAUAAAUGCAUAUGGCAAAAGGGCUCAAACCAUACCUUAUGUUCAUGAAUUCUCAUCAUCACGUGUUUAUAAAUGCAACUCAAACUUCAAUAAUUGAAUCUUUUGUAAUUCUACAUGUAUUUUUUUAUUAUGGCGAGCAGUAUAAUGUUUACUAAAAAUUGAAAUUCAAGAAAGAAGACAUAUAUAGUUGCACCAUACAAGAUGUUACACUCGAACUAAACGCUUACAAAUAGUACGAAAUGCAAUUGAAUACAGAGGAAUUGGUACAAUCAUAAAAACAGACACAUACCAAUGCAACUUUUCACCAUAGGAAAAACUUUCUGACAGACUACUAAACAAGAAAUUAUGAAGACACAGUAGAAAUGCUUUAACUUCAUUUGCACCAACUAGAUCAUUCUUCAUCCACUCAUGCGAUUGCUAUAUUUUGGCUUUCUUCUUCGCCUCUUCUCAUGUUGGUCUUCAACCAAAUUCACGAACCUUUUCACCUUAUCGGUUUGGAAAACAACACAUCCCAUGGCCAUUCCAAACACUACCCCGGAUCCAUAACCUAUCAACACCACUUUCCAACCAAAAGCAAUGUUUGCUUUUGAGCCAUCCUUUUCCAGCACAUUUGGAGGUGGUGUCUCAUUGAUGCUGCAACCUUUGGAGACUGGAAAUCCACAUAGUCUCUGUUUCCUUCGUAUGAAUUGUUUCCAAAUGUAUUGAACUGUUUGCCUUGAGGAAUCUGACCAUGGAGUUGAUUUUCGGAAACGUUUAAUAAGGAAAGAAAUGCCGGAUCUGCCAAUAUCUCUGGAAUUAACUCAGUUCAAAAGACUAUAUAACUCGUAAAGUUUGGUCGAAGACUAGCAGGGGUCAAGAAAAAUAAUUACUUGAAUUGUCAAAAUUUUGGAUUUUAGAGAAACAAGCACUAGACUUGGAGCUAUGGUCAUGCAAGGAACCAUGCAUUUCAUUUGACUUUAGUACAAGAACUUGUAGCCGUGGAAGACUUCCCUACCAAUGAGGAAAUGUAUCAUUGAUCUUGUUGUUCCUAAGAUCUAGCACUUCCAAAGACCUAAAAUUGAGGAUGGAUGGUGACAAAUGCCAUUCAAAUUGAUUUCCAUUUAAGUUGAGAUUACUCAAUUGGCAUCCCUUUGCAAAUGUUGGAGGAAUCAAUCCAUAAAACUUGUUCUUCUUUAGAUUCAAAAAUUCCAGGUUGUUGCUCAAAUUUCCAAAACAUUGUAGAAUAGUUCCACUCAAUUUAUUGUGGGACAAGUCAAGAAUUUGGAGAGCACUCACAUUGCCUAUCAAAGAAGAGACCUCUCCACUUAAACUAUUGUUUGAAGUAAAAAACACGUUGAUUGUCGAAGAUGGGAUUGGAAGAUUUCCAUGGAUCAAAUUGGAGCUUAAGUCAAGAAUAUUAAUAUUCUUCCAUGGAAGUUGCUCAACUUCUGUCAAUGAAUUGUGAGAUAAAUUUAAGUAACUCAAAGAGUCACACGUCACUUCUUGCAGCCAUUGUGGAAUCUUCCCUUCAAUUCUAUUGUUAGAAAGCUCCAAAGUUUUCAACUUUUUUAACCCUUUCAAAAAUCGGGGGAAUUGGCUGACAUUAUUUGAGCUUAAGGAUAGGCUGUUUAGUGAAAGGUCAAGAUAUUCGAGAUUUGGGAGAUUUGAGAACAUGCCAAACUCUAUGACACCACUGAAAUUAUUUGAGUAUAAAAGGAGCCAGGUAAGGUUGAGAAAUUGGAAUAUUGAAGAUGGAAGAGGACCUUGGAGAUUAUUAUUCCCUAACACUAUCAUUCUAGUGAUUUGGAUUGGAAUUCUUUGAUGUGUCCACUGAAUUGAUUCUGAGAGAGAGAUAUUUCCAUUAAGGAGAAAGCAUUAUACAACCAUGACAGAAGUUUUCCAUUGGGUAAAUUGUUAGAUAAGUCUAAAGAUAUUAGAUUAGGGAAAGCAGCUACCUCAUCUGGAAUGGGACCUUCUAAAGAAUUUUCAGCUAUUCUCAAGUGUUCAAGCUGUGUUAGGUUUACAAUUGACAAUGGAACUUGUUCACUCAAUUGGUUCCAUGACAAGUCUAAAUAUAUGAGCCACAAGAGGUUCCCCAGAGAUCUCGAAAUUGAUCCCUGUAAAUUGGAAUUAGAGAGAGACAAAUAUUUCAAGACGUGCAGGUUGUCAAUCAAAUCAAUCAAUUUUGAAAAGGAGGACAUCCAUGACAGAUCCAAAUGUUCAAGAUUACUGCUCUGAUUGAACUUCAGAAGAUCAAGAAUCAGGUUUCGGUUGUAUCCUAAGUUGAGCAAAUUGAGGUUUGGCGAAUGAAGAACGUUUCUUGAGAAUUUUCCUUGCAAAUCACAACCACCAAGACUGAGAGACUUUAUAGAAGAGGAUAGAUUGAUGAAAACAUUAGGAUUAAUAGAAGGCAUGAUAAUUCUAUCAAGAAAAAGAUGUCUCACCUCAGUUAGGUUGUGAACAAGUCCCUUCAAAGAAUUUUAUCAAGUGUUAAUUGGUCAGAAAAAACAUUAUGAGAGAGAUCAAGUGAAACCAAUUUUGACGAGUGGGAGAUUUGGGAUGGGACUUUUCCUGCAAAUAACGUUUCUGAGAUGUUAAGAUACACCAGGCUUGUAAACCGGCCGAACUCGGAUGGAAUUUUGGAAAGAUUAAAAUCAUUGUAGGCAAGGUUGAAUUUUUGAAGGUGAGGAAGAAGGAAGAGAGUGGUAUUGGAAGGGAAGUUGCCAUAUAGACAACUGCAGCUCAAGUCAAGGGCAAUAUAUAACUUGAGCAUUUAGGUGGUCACAAGUGACCCCAUCCCAUGAGCAGCAAUCUGUACCCUCAUUCCAUGAAUUUGUCCUGGGAUAAGAUUUAUGGCCAUCAAUCUCAUUGCUAUAAGAAGAAGCAUACUCUGUUAUGGAAAAAGAGUCCUUAAACUGGAUUAGUGAAGAGCAGGAGUGAGAUCCUGAAGAAGAAAAAGAAGCAUAAAGAUGGGGAAAGGUUAAGGUAGAAUAGGCUUGUAAACCGACCGAACUCGGAUGAAAUUUUGGAAAGAUUAAAAUCAUUGAAGGCAAGGUUGAGUUUUUGAAGGUGAGGAAGAAGGAAGAGAGUGGUAUUGGAAGGGAAGUUGCCAUAUAGCCAACUGCAGCUCAAGUCAAGGGCAAUAACUUGAGCAUUAAGGUGAUGACAAGUGACCCCACACCAUGAGCAGCAAUCUGUACCCUCCUUCCAUGAAUUUGUCUUGGGAUAAGAUUUAAGGCCGGCAAAAUCAUCGCAACACAAAGCAGCAUGGCCUGUCUGAGUGAUCGAAAAUGAAUUCUUGAACUGGAUUAGAGAAGCAGCUUCGUGGUGAGAGCAGGAGUGAGAUCCUGAAGAAGAAGAAGCAUAAAGAUGGGGAAAGAAGAGGAAUAGGCAGAGAGAGAGAUAGGGGCCAUGUUAUGUUUGUAGAGGAAGAUGAAGGAUAGGAAUGGUAUUUAUAGGCAACAAAUAGAAUCCAAUAUUAAACAAAAGAUUUGAUGAUUAAUACCACAACACCACUGUUACAGUGUUGUUUCUUUUAUGGUAUAAAGAUUGUUAUUGGAAGAGUUUGAAAUGCUGACAUUGAAAACCUAUAUUUUUCAAUACUCAUCAACAACCACUUCCUUUUUACCAUAUCUUUUUCAUUCCCAAAAUUGGAUACAUUGUUUUACCAAAAUUUUGUAUUUCAUUUGAACUCCCUAAACAACUGAGAAAAUUAACAUUGAUGAGAUUACAAAGUAGAUUGACUUAGUCUUCUUCCUUAUAAUAGGUAAAAAAAAAAUGUGAGUGUCUAUUCACUUAUAAUAUUUCCAUGCUAGAGGUAGUUUUUGGAAAAUCUUUAAUUAAAUCUUAAUUUCAUUUUGUUAAAAUUUUAAACUGGGUUAUCGAAUUGGCUUCUGAUUGUAGGUUGAUCAAUGAUGGGCCGAUUUCUUCUUCUUCUUUUUUAAUUUUUUUAGGGUUAAUUUAUAAUAUACUGCUUAAUGUUGUUGAUUUAUUUUUCUGGUCAUCGUUUCAUCCGUUUGUUGAAGAUAACUGAAUUUUUAUUGGUUGUAAUUGGACUUGGGUUUUAGCCAAUGACUAUAAUCAAAGGGUUAAUUUAAGGUUCCAAUGAAUUGUUUGAAAAUUUUAUUAUUUUUCUUUUCAAUUAGUUGUUUUACAAGGAUUUAACUUAUAUUAGUCAAAUGAACUGGCUUUAAAAAAUGAACAAGAACGAAGAAAUUGGAUGGUUAACUGGACACUGGAAAGGGGGAAUGCUAAAAGUUGUAAAUGUUUUGAAUAUAGAGUUGUAUUCUUUUCAUGGCUUCAGAAAAAUGUAUGCAAUGUUUGGCCAGCGAUAAUGGACAAGUUUUUUUAAACCUCCAUGCCUUAGUCAUGCUUUCAUAAACAUGGGCAGCUAACACCGAGAAGUCUCAUUGAAUGUAGUAAGCGAUUUAAAAGUGAAGCUCAUAUGCGACCGGGGAUGGUUGAUUUGAGGUUUAAUUCUAGCUAGUAGAUUCUGUUGUUUGUUAAGCGUCUUUUUGGAGACAAAUGUCUGAGAUUGCUGGAAAAUGCUUCUUACCAUCAUAUUAAUGUGUAUUUGGGUUGCGUUUUCUUAGAGUUUUGGAUUCUUUGCAUCAUAUCAUAAAAUUGAGUUAGAUAUAACAUCUCAUUGUUAUCUGUUAAUUGUUUCACUUGGGACCAGGAGCAUGCUGGCAACUCAAUACAGCUGUAAAUGCAUAUUUCAGUGAGGGUGAUAGGUAUAUAUUUAUGAAUUAUCCUAAUAUUUUUUAUGAUAAGUAAUUCUAGGUUUAUAGCUUUAUUUGUUUGUUUGUUUUCUCGUGUUUCCUACAAAAAAAGGCCAACAUCAACCAUAGUUCCUGUAGAUGAUGCCAUGGAUAUAGAUGAUCCAAAUGAAGUAGUACCAAAUGGGCCAGUCCUUCCAUUUCUACCAUCAUCUAGAACAAACGAACAAUCGUCUCUUUUUCUGAAAUUUCCGGCGCGACGCCUGUGCGGGGGGCCUUGGCCGGAAUCUGGACUUAGUCCAGAGAGUUUUUUUUUCUUUCUUCUGUUUUUUUUUUUCAAUGUUCAAAUGAUUUUUUUUCUCAAAACACUAAUUUUUAUGCCCAGUGAAACGGCGCCGUUUUGGCUAAGCUCCAAAACACCCAAAACGACGUCGUUUCACUCGCCACCAACUUGAAUUUUAUAACUACUCCUAUGCCAACCAGCAAACCAUAACAGCGUACAUAAAAAAGAGGAUGCUGACUUACAAUUCCUUUCAUUUCACCAUAACCAAUCAAAUCCCUUGCAAUGCUGUUUGGAUCACAGCAGCUCAUCUUUCAAUCCUAGAUGGCUCCGCUAAUUUUUUGAAAGCAUACAUAAACUGUUAAAGAAAUAAAUGGAUAAAACAACUACAGGAUAGAAGGCUGAAAAAUUACAAAGUGCAAUGACCUUAUUGUUAAAAUUUCAACGCCCAUUCCUUGGAAAGAUAUCUUCACCAUUGCCCACUCAAGAGAACUCAAAUAGCAGCAAGAUCUAGUAUAAAAUGUAACUCUCAACAACACACACAAAUGUUUGUUCUAUCAAGGAGCAAUACACAGACAUAUUCACCUACCCUUGGUUCUAGCUUUGCAUAUUACAUAACACUCUUCAAAUGUCUUAUUAAAUUCUCACUUUUACGAGUGCUAUGAUAAUCAAAUAAAAUUCAAUUCAAUUUUAAGUUCCAUAUAACACUUACAUGGCUACAAAAUGUGUGUGUGUUUAAGUGUCGACAACCACAAACAAUCCAAAUUUGCAGAGAAACCACCCAUUAUAUAUAGGUUUGCCAAUGAGAUGGCAAGCAGAUUGCUAGCUAGAAAUUCAUGCAUCUUUGAAUCACCAGUUCAAUUAAUAAGCUUAAGUAGAGGAAAUAGGGACUUUACAUCCACCAAUUAAAGCAACCUAUAUGUACCCUUUUACAGUCUGCAUUGUUCCAUGUUUCAAUUCAUUACAUCAUUCCUUCAACUCUGCUAUAUAUUAUUACCGUCUCCAGAUAACCAAACCUUUUACUGCUAACUUGUAAAAAAAUUAUGAAAAUACAACAGAGAUCAUUGAGACAUUGUUGAAGUUGGCUUGCAUGCAGAGCAAGAAGCAGACCAAGCUGUCCGAGCCAUGCAAGUUGCAGCUGAAGCUUAUGCUGCUGUUUUGUUACUUUCAAAUAGAUAUUUUAUUACUUAGUUAGAUAUGAACUAAGUUGUUGAUAUGCUUGAUGUGAUUAGGUGCUGAUAGAUUGAUAAAUCAGCUUUACCAAGUGUACAAGCAAUGUUUAUCAAGUUACUAAGCCACUUAGUGGAGUUAGGCACGUGUUUAGGUAACAUUUUCUUAUUUUUGACCAGCUGAUUGCUCGGUAUAUGUAAUGGAAUUGUGCCUUCAUUUGGUCUUUACUUAAGCAUUUUUAUUCAAAAAGCUCUUGCUGUUUUUGUUUUGUUUGUUGUGCAAGAUAUCAAUGCUUUAUGCUUAAGUUUCUGUCAAAAUUUCUCAUUCUGUUUUCUUAGUUCCUACAGACAUUUUGUUCUCCUUUCUCCUUUACUGAGCAGUAGCAAAGAUUAUUGAGACUAAAUUGAAAUCCAUGAAAGAAGACAUAAACAACACCACCAUACAAAAUGUCACACUCAAACAAACCAUUACAGAUAGUACGAAAUGCAAUGAAAGACAGAGGAAUUGGUACAAUAAUAAAGACAGCCAGAUACCAAUGCAACCCUUCACCAUAGGCACAACGGUCUACAAACAAGAAAUUAUGAAAAAUACAACACUAAUUCUUGAACAUCAUUUGCAGUAAUUAGAUCCUUCUUCGUCUACUGCUGCGAUUGCCUUUCUUUGACUUUCUUCUUCGCCUCUUCUCAUGUUGGUUUUCAACCAAAUUCACCAACCAUUUUGGCUUUCCAGUUUGGAAAACAACAUAUCCCACGGACAUUCCGAACACUACUCCGCAUCCACAACCUAUCAUCACCACUUUCCAACCAAAAGCAAUGUUUGAUUUUGAGCCAUCUUUUUCAAGCACAUUUGGAGGUGGUGGGUCAAUGAUGUUGCAACCUUUCGAGACCGGAAACCCACACAGUCCCUUAUUUCCUUCAUAUGAAUCAUUUCCAAAUGUGUUGAAUUGUUUGCCUUGGGGAAUCUUACCAUGGAGUUGAUUUUCAGAAACAUUUAAGGACGAAAGAAACGGCAGAUCUGCCAAUCUAUUUGGAAUCGCCCCAGACAACCUGUUUGAAGAUAGGUCCAACCAUUCAAGACUUGUCAAAUUCCCUAUUGAUGUGGGGAUACCACCAUUAAGGUUAUUAUGAGAAAGGUUGAGCCCUUUCAGUAAGUUAAGCUUCCCAAUAACCUUUGGAAUACCCCCUUCAAACUGAUUGUUUGAUAGAUCAAUGAUCAUCCACAUGGUGAAAAUUUUCACCAAUUCCCUAUCUUGUCCUUUCAUAACAAUUCCAAUGGAAUAGGUAUAGAAGUCACCUCCAUCAUCAUUCACCCCCAUGUACGACACUGUACUACCAAUCUUCUCUAGAUUUAUGAUAGCCUUGAAGCUGUUGAUGUAUCUCACUGGUAGGGGUCCAGAAAAAUAAUUACUUGAGAGAUCAAAAAUUUGGAUUUUAGAGAAAAAAGGGAUAGACUUGGAGCUAUUGACACAUAAGGAACCAUGCAAUUGAUUUGACUUCAAUACAAGAACUUGUAGCCGUGGAAGACUUCCCAACCAAUGAGGAAAUGUAUCAUUGAUCUUGUUGUUACCAAGAUCUAGCACUUCCAGACCAUUACAAUUAAGGAUGGAUGGUGUCAAAGGCCCUUCUAACAGAUUUCCAUUUAAGUUGAAAUUACUCAAUUGGCAUCCCAUUGCAAAUGUUGGAGGAAUCGUCCCAUAGAACUUGUUCUUCUUCAGAUUCAAGAAUAGAAGGCUGUUGCUCAAAUUUCCAAAACAUUGUGGAAUUGUUCCACUCAAGUUAUUGUGGGACAAAUCAAGAAUUUCAAGAAAAGCGGCAUUGCAUAUUAAAGAAGAGACCUCUCCAUUGAAACUAUUAUUAGAGAUCAAAAAGACAUUGAUGGUCGAAGCUGGAAUCGGAAGAUUUCCACUGAUCAAAUUGGAGCUUAAGUCAAGAACGUCAAUAUUCUUCCAUGGAAAGUGCUCAACUUCUGUCAAAGAGUUGUGAGAUACGUUUAAGUAAGUCAAAGAGUCAUUCCCCACCUCUUGCAUCCACUGUGGAAUCUUGCCUUCAAUUUUGUUGUAAGAGAGGUCUAAGCUUUCCAAACUUUUAAGCCCUUUUAAAAAUUGGGGGAAUUCACUAAGAUUGCAAGAUGACAAAAACAACCUUGUAAGAUUAACAGUAGAAGUAGUAUUAGAUGUUAAGGAUAGGCUGUUAUAUGAAAGGUCAAGAGAUUCGAGAUUUGGAAGGUUUGAGAACAUGCGAAACUCUAUGACACCACUAAGAUAAUUUGAGGAUAAGCUAAGUUGGGUAAGAUUGAGAAGUUGGAAUAUUGAAGAUGGAAGAGGACCUUGGAGUUUAUUAUUCUCUAACGCUAUCCAUUCUAGUGAUUUGGAUUGGAAUUCUUUGAUAUGCCCACUGAAUUGAUUUUGAGAGAGUUUUAUAUCCUUUAAGGAGGGAGCAGUAUACAACCAUGAUGGAAGUUGUCCACUGAGUAAAUUGUUAGUUAAGUCUAAAGAUAUUAGAUUAGGAAAAGCGGUUACCUCAUCUGGAAUAGAACCUUUUAAUGUAUUUCCAGCUAUUCUCAAGUAUUCCAGCUGCGUUAGGUUUAGAAUUGACAAUGGAAUUUGUCCAUUCAAUUGGUUCUGCCACAAGCCUAAAUAAGUGAGUUGCAAGAGGUUCCCCAAUGAUCUUGGAAUUUGUCCACUCAAUUGGUUUUGCCACAAGCCUAAAUAAGUGAGUUGCAAGAGGUUCCCCAAUGAUCUUGGAAUUUGUCCACUCAACUGGUUCCCCGAUAAGUCUAAAUGAGUGAGUUGCAAGAGAUUCCCCAGUGAUUUUGGAACCGGUCCUGAUAAGUUGGAAUAGGAGAGAUCUAAAAACUUCAAGGACACAAGAUUACCCACCGAGUCUGGCAAUCCUCCAAAAAAAUUUGCGCCUGAAAUUAUCAAUUGCUCCAAAGAUGAUAAAUUUGUGAUUGAGACAGACAAUCCUUGAAAGAAAAAAUUUCCUGAUAGACCUAAGGACUUUAAGGCCUGUAGAUUAUCAACUGAAUCAAUGAAUUCUGUAGAGAAGGACGUCCAUGACAGAUCCAAAUGUUCAAGAUUGCUGCUCCGAUUCAACUUCAAAGGAUCAAGAUUGAGGUUUUGGUUGUUUCCCAAGUUGAGGAGAUUGAGGUUUGGCAAAUCAAAAAUGUUGUUUGGGAAUUUUCCUUGCAAAUCACAACCAGCAAGACUGAGAGACCUUAGAGAAGAGGAUAGAUUCAUGAAGACAUGAGCAUUAACAGAAGCCAUCUCCAUUCCAUCCAAAAACAGAUGUCUGACCUCGGUUAGGUUUUGAACAAGUCCCUCCAGAGCAUGUUUGUCUCCUACAAACCCUGUACUGGAAAGGUCGAGGUAGAGUAGGCUUGUAAACCGACCUAACUCGGAUGGAAUUUCGGAAAGAUUAAACUCAUUGUAGGCAAGGUUGAGUUUUUGAAGGUGAGGAAGAAGGAAGAGAGUGGAAUUGGAAGGGAAGUUGCCAUAUAGCCAACUGCAGCUCAAGUCAAGGGCAAUAACAUGAGCAUUUAGGUGGUCACAAGUGACCCCAUCCCAUGAGCAGCAAUCUGUACCCUCCUUCCAUGAAUUUGUCUUGGGAUAAGAUUUAUGGCCAGCAAUCUCAUUGCAAUAAGAAGAAGCGUCCUCUGUUAUGGAAAAAGAGUCCUUAAACUGGAUUAGUGAAGAGCAGGAGUGAGAUCCAGAAGAAGAAAAAGAAGCAUAAAGAUGGGGAAAGAAGAGGAAUAGGCAGAGGAAGAGAUAGGGGGCCAUGUUAUGUCUGUAGAGGAAGAUGAAGGAUAGGAAUGGUAUUUAUAGGCAACAAAUAAUACCGCAGUGUUACAGUCUUUUUUUCUUUUACAUUGAGAAGCUAUGGAGAUUAGAUUUUCAAAAUUUUUGUAUUUUUAACAAUCAUCAACAGUCACUUAGUCUUCUUUUUACCAUAUAUUUUUCAUUCUUAAAAUUGGAUGCUAUCUUUUCGCAAAAUCUUGUGGAAAUUCUUUAGCCUUCUUCUCUAUAACACUUAAAGAAUGUGUGUAUGUAUUCAUUUGCCUGUCAACUAAAGCUAAUUAAUGUGGAAAUUCUUUUCCACCCAAAAGAACAAAAUUGUGCUCUAUUCAUUAAGUUUGAGGAAGAAGAUUGCUGGAAAUUUAAUCUACCGAUUCCAUAAAAAACGUGUAUACUUAUAUAACCUCAUAAUUCAAAUCUAAAAUCUCAUUUGUUAUAAAUUCUGAUAAAUUUCUUUGGAAUUGCUAUUUUUCAUUUGUUAAUUAUUUCUCUUUUAAUCGAGUAAAAAAUUAAAACUAAAAAGACAUAAUGAUUUAUUUGGCAUUUUUAAACUUUACAAAUAAAAAAUCAUUUUAGCUUUUCAUUUUUUUAUCUCUAUUAAAUCACCCAAAAAAAAUAAUGAAAAAGACUAACAAAACUAGCACCUACGUGGCUGAUGUUGACCCUUAGUAGUUAAUGACAACAUCUACGUAGUUGUUAACAGAUACCACACUAACACUGUUUGUUGACGUGACAAUGCCACAUGAUCAAUAAUCACCGACAUGGUAGCGCCACGCUAUCGCCCAUUGGUGACAUAUUGAUGUUUGAGUUAAACUCAAAUUACUAUUUCCUUUGUUAUAAAUUAAGAGUAUAACUAAUUUUGAUAAGAAUGAUUACUUUUCAUUAACUCAGUCUAAAGGACUAUAACACGUAAAGUUUGGCCUAUUGCAGAAUUCACAUGCAAUGCGGGGCAUUUACAUUAUGCAGAAUUCGGCACAUAUAUGGGAAUUUUUGUAUUUCCACAAUCAUCAUGUUGUUCGUGAUCAACAACUACUUCCUUUUUACCAUAUAUUUUUCAUUCAUAAAAUUGAUUACUUUUUUUUUUACGAAAGAAGUAAAAUUAUUAACAUUCAUGAUAUUACAAAGCCUUCUUCCUUAUAACACGUCAAGUUUGGCCCCAAAUAAUUUUCCAGACAAAAGAAUUAAGAGGAAGGAGACUGCUACAGAUUGACUAUACUUUUAACUCCACAAACAAAGACUAAGACUAUCAAUUGUCUAUUGACUACACUUUAACUCGACAAAAACAGAUUGACUAUACUUUUAACUCCACAAACAAAGACUAAGACUAUCAAUUGUCUAUUGACUUCACUUUAACUCGACAAAAACAGACUAAUAAGACUUUGGUUGGCUGUAAUGGGCUAUUGACUAUACUUUAACUCCGCAAAAAAAGACUAAGGCUAUCAAUUGUCUAUUGACUUCACACUUGCUGUUGCUUCCUCCUAUCUCUAUCACUUGCUUCCUCCUAUCUCUAUCACCCAAACUUAAUUUACAAGCAAUGUGGAAAUUUUGGACAUUUGGGCCACAAUGUACAAUACUUCCACACCAUUUGCAGUAUUGACUACGUUUACUUGAGGGCAAACAAAGACAUGAAUGCUGGAAAUUUUAACUAGUUUGUACCGUCAAUGAAGCUACGUACCUAAAAGCAAUGUAUUAUCACCGUCUCCAGAAAUUUUGCUAAUUCAAUUUCCCAAGAAAUAUGAUUAAUUUUGGUUAAAUUGGAGUGAACAUUACUAUUUCUGUUUUAGCAAUUAAAGCAACCUAUAUGUACCCUUUUACAGUCUGCAUUGUUCCAUGUUUCCAUUCAUUACAUCAUUCCUUCAACUCUGCUAUAUAUUAUCACCGUCUCCAGAGAACCAAACCUUUUACUGCUAACUUGUAAAAAAAUUAUGAAAAUACAACAGAGAUUAUUGAGACAUUGUUGAAGUUGGCUUGCAUGCAGUAGACAUUGUUAAUCUUAUUAUUAUUAUUAUUAUUAUUAACUCAUGAACCCAUGGUUACACUUCCAACAGAGGUGAGAGAGGUUAAGAGUAGCCAUGAGCCAUCUAGUCAUGCUCCUGUUGUUGAGGAUGCCUCUGAAACUGCACAAGCUCUCAGCCCGAAUUCAAAUCUAAAAUCUCAUUUGUUAUAAAUUCUGAUAAAUUUAUUUGGGAAUUGCUAUUUUUCAUUCGUUAAUUAUUUCUCUUUUAAUCGAGUAAAAAAUUAAAACUAAAAAGACAUGAUAAUUUACUUGGCAUUUUUUAACUUUACAAACAAAUAGUCAUUUUAGCUUUCCAUUUUUUUUUUCUCUUUUAGCCUUGAAACUUAUAUGGUUCCUUAAAUCACUCCAAAAAAAAUGAUGAAAAAGACUAACAAAUUCUAGCACCUACGUGGCUGAUGUUGACCCUAGUAGUUAAUGGCAACACCUACGUAGUGGUUAACAGAUACCACACCAACACUGUUUGUUGACGUGACAAUGCCAAAUGGUCAAUAAUCGCUGACAUGGUAGCGCCACGCCAUCGCCCAUUGAUGACAUGUUAACCUUUGAGUUAAACUCAAAUUACUCUUUCCUUUGUUAUAAAUUAAGAGUAUAAAUAAUUCUGAUAAGAAUAGUUACUUUUCAUUAACUCAGUUUAAAGGACUAUAACACGUAAAGUUUGGUCUAUUGCAGAAUUCACAUGCCAUGCGGGACGUUUACAUUAUGCAGAAUUCAACACAUAUAUGGGAAUUUUUGUAUUUCCACAAUCAUCAAAUAAUUUUCAUAAAUUGAUUACUUUCUUUUUACCAUAUAAUUUUCAUUCAUAAAUUGAUUACUUUUUUUUUACAAAAGAAGUAAAAUAAUUAAUAUUCGUGAGAUUACAAAGUCUUCUUCCUUAUACACGUCAAGUUUGGUCUCAAAUAAUUUUCCACACAAAAGAAUACUUUUAACAAUCAAUUGUCUAUUGACUAUACUUUGAACUCCACAAAAAAGACUAAGACCUUCAAUUGUCUAUUGACUACACUUUAACUCGACAAAAAAAGACUAAGACUAUCAAUUGUCUAUUGACUAUCAAUUGGUUCCAUGACAAGUCUAAAUAUAUGAGCCACAAGAGGUUCCCCAAUGAUCUCGAAAUUGAUCCCCGUAAAUUGGAAUUAGAGAGAGACAAAUAUUUCAAGACAUGCAGGUUGUCAAUCAAAUCAAUCAAUUUCGUAAAGGAGGACAUCCAUGACAGAUCCAAAUGUUCAAAAUUACUGCUCUGAUUGAACUUCAGAAGAUCAAGACUAAGGAUUCGGUUGUAUCCUAAGUUGAGCAAAUUGAGGUUUGGCGAAUGAAGAAUGUUUCUUGAGAACUUUCCUUGCAAAUCACAACCACCAAGACUGAGAGACUUUAUAGAAGAGGAUAGAUUCAUGAAAACAUUAGGAUUAAUAGAAGGCAUGAUAAUUCUAACAAGAAAAAGAUGUGUCACCUCAGUUAGGUUGUGAACAAGUCCCUCCAAAGAAUUUUAUCAAGAGUUAAUUGGUGAGAAAAAACAUUAUGAGAGAGAUCAAGUGAAACCAAAUUUGACGAGUGGGAGAUUUGGGAUGGGACUUUUCCUGUAAAUAACGUUUUUUAGAUGUUAAGAUACACCAGCCUUGUAAACCGACCGAACUAGGAUGGAAUUUUGGAAAGAUUAAAAUCAUUGUAGGCAAGGUUGAGUUUUUGAAGGUGAGGAAGGAGGAAGAGAGUGGUAUUGGAAGGGAAGUUGCCAUAUAGCCAACUGCAGCUCAAGUCAAGGGCAAUAACAUGAGCAUUAAGGUGAUGACAAGUGACCCCAUACCAUGAGCAGCAAUCUGUACCCUCCUUCCAUGAAUUUGUCUUGGGAUAAGAUUUAAGGCCGUCAAAAUCAUCGCAAUACAAAGCAGCAUGGUCUGUCUGAGUGAUCGAAAAUGAAUUCUUGAACUGGAUUAGAGAAGCAGCUUCGUGGUGAGAGCAGGAGUGAGAUCCUGAAGAAGAAGAAGCAUAAAGAUGGGGAAAGAAGAGGAAUAGGCAGAGAGAGAGAUAGGGGCCAUGUUAUGUUUGUAGAGGAAGAUGAAGGAUAGGAAUGGUAUUUAUAGGCAACAAAUAGAAUCCAAUAUUAAACAAAAGCUUUGAUGAUUAAUACCACAACACCACUGUUACAGUGUUGUUUCUUUUAUGGUAUAAAGAUUGUUAUUGGAAGAGUUUGAAAUGCUGACAUUGAAAACCUAUAUUUUUCAAUACUCAUCAACAACCACUUCCUUUUUACCAUAUCUUUUUCAUUCCCAAAAUUGGAUACAUUGUUUUACCAAAAUUUUGUAUUUCAUUUGAACUCCCUAAACAACUGAGAAAAUUAACAUUGAUGAGAUUACAAAAUAGAUUGACUUAGUCUUCUUCCUUAUAAUACGUAAAAAAAAAUGUGAGUGUCUAUUCACUUAUAAUAUUUCCAUGCUAGAGGUAGUUUUUGGAAAAUCUUUAAUUAAACCUUAAUUUCAUUUUGUUAAAAUUUUUAACUGGAUUAUCGAAUUGGCUUCUGAUUGUAGGUUGAUCAAUGAUGGGCUGAUUUCUUCUUCUUCUUUUUUAAUUUUUUUAGGGUUUAUAAUAUACUGCUUAAUGUUGUUGAUUUAUUUUUCUGAUCAUCGUUUCAUUCGUUUGUUGAAGAUAACUGAAUUUUUAUUGGUUGUAAUUGGACUUGGGUUUUAGCCAAUGACUAUAAUCAAAGGGUUAAUUUAAGGUUCGAAUGAAUUAUUUGAAAAUUUUAUUAUUUUUCUUUUCAAUUAGUUGUUUUACAAGGAUUUAACUUAUAUUAGUCAAAUGAACUGGGUUUAAAAAAUGAACAAGAACGAAGAAAUUGGAUGGUUGACUGGACACUGGAAAGGGGAAAAGCUAAAAGUUGUAAAUGUUUUGAAUAUAGAGUUGUAUUCUUUUCAUGGCUUCAGAAAAAUGUAUGCAAUGUUUGGCCAGCGAUAAUGGACAAGUUUUUUUAAACCUCCAUGCCUAAGUCAUGCUUUCAUAAACAUGGGCAGCUAACACCGAGAAGUCAGUAAGCGAUUUAAAAGUGAAGCUCAUAUGCGUCAUUGCUACUCGCUUUGCAGCUAAACUCCUGAGUGACCGGGGAUGGUUGAUUUGAGGUUUAAUUCUAGCUAGUAGAUUCUUAGGUUUGUUAAGGGUCUUUUUGGAGACAAAUGUCUGAGAUUGCUGGAAAAUGCUUCUUACCAUCAUAUUAAUGUCUAUUCGGGUUGCGUUUUCUUAGAGUUUUGGAUUCUUUGCAUCUUAUCAUAAAAUUGAGUUAGAUAUAACAUGUCAUUGUUAUCUGUUAAUUGUUUCACUUGGGACCAGGAGCAUGGUGGCAACUCAAUACAGCUGUAAAUGCAUAUUUCAGCGAGGGUGAUAGGUAUAUAUUUAUGAAUUAUGCUAAUAUUUUGUUAUGAUAAGUAAUUCUAGGUUUAUAGCUUUAUUGGUUUGUUUGUUUUCUCAUGUUUCCUACAAAAAUAAGGCCAACAUCAACCAUAGUUUCUGUAGAUUAUGCCAUGGAUAUAAAUGAUCCAAAUGAAGUUGUACCAAAUGGGCCAGUCCCUUCCAUUUCUACCAUCAUCUAGAACAAACGAACAAUCGUCUCUUCAUCAUCGAAACUUCCAUAGCAGUUUCUUCGAUGGUGAUUCUGGUUCAACUUAUGAACCAAUUGAUACAUAUCCAACAGAGGUGAGAGGGGUUAAGUAUAGCCAUGAGCCAUCUAGUCAUGCUCCUGUUGUUGAGGAUGCCUCUGAAACUGCACAAGCUCUCGGCCCGAAUUCCCAUGAGACUGUUACAAUUGGUGAAGUAGGUGACGAUUCAAUUGCGCAGCCAAGGUGGCAGAAUGAUAACUGUAACAACCAGCAUGUUACACCCAGCGCUCCUGCCUUUGAUAAUUUGCUAGACUAUGGCGAUGACAUUGAAGAACAAAUGAUUCAAGCUGCCAUUGAGGCCUCUAAGCGGGAUGCUGAGGCAAGUUUUAAAAAAAGGACGCUUCCAAUUUGAUAGUGUUGUGGUGCCCUUCAUUCUUGUAGUUGCUGUAAAUGCUUGUUUUACAGAUUGCCUUUUUCAUGUUUAAAGUGUUAAAGUGUUGCAAAUUGAAGUGUUUUAAGUAAUGCAAAUUGAAUUGUUUAGUUGCUGGAAAUUGAGAUGUUUUAUGGCCGUAAUUGAGUGUAUAAAUGUUGUAAAUUGAAGUGUUUUAUUGCUGGAAAUUGGAUGCAUGGUAUAAUGACAUGAUAGAAUGUCAUUACAAUGUUGUAACUUUUUGAUGUUGUAAAAUCAUAUGGAUUAUGACAUCUAAACUAAUGAAAUCGUGUAACUUUUUAUUAAUAUAUGAAUAUUAUGUUGGGAUGUGAAAUAUAAUUCUCAAGUUAUUUAUUACUUCUAAUAUCUAAUAUUUCAUUGUAGAAUAAUUAAAAUUAUUUGUUUCACUAAUGAUAUUUUAGCACAUUCAAUAUCUAUUGCAGUUUAAAAAUAAUAAUUUAGAUUAUAUAUUAUUUUUAUAGUAUUAUAUAUUAUGAUUUUAGUAAAUUCAUAUAAUAGUAAUUAUAUUAAGAAUUUUAUUAAAUUAUAUUUAAUAAUAAUUAUGUUAAAAUAUGGUUAAAUUAUUUAUUAUCUUUAUUAAAUUAUUUUUAAUAAUAAUCUUUUUAAAAUUUAAUAACAAUAACAAAAAUCAUCUACUUAAAAAAGAUUCUGCUAAGGGUAUUCUAGUCAUUUUAGUUUUUUCCUUAUGCAAUUACAACAUCAUUCCAUUCAACCAAACACAAGAAUACCAUUACAGUUCUAUUCCGUUCCAUUCAACCAAACAAUUGAAUUACUGAUUACAGCUCUAUUCCAUUACAGUGAACCAAAUAUAUCCUUAGUAUGAAUGGCUGUCGAGGCAUGUAGAAAUUUGCACACAAAAGAACAAAAUUGUGCACUACUUAAAACUUCAAAGCAUGUGUGGCCUUAAUUUAAUUUUUCAUCUUUUUUAGCCCUUAAACCUACAUUGUUUAUCAGAUGAAAAAAUUAAUAUCUAUUAACUUUGCUAAUGUGCAAGCAUAUGCAACUUCUUUUAAAUCUAAAAAAUAUAAAAAUAAUUAAAUAUGUAUAAAUCUAAAGAUAUCUUAAACUUAAAACUAAAAUUUUUUAAACUAAUGCAAAUUUUUAUUAUUUAAAAAAUCUUAAAAUUUUCAAAUUAAAUUCCAUUUGUUUUCCACCGUUGAAGAACACCUUUAAUCACAACUUCAUGCUGUAUUGCCUAGAAAUUGUUUUGCAAAUUUAUUUUGUUUUAUUUAUUUCUAAACCCAUAUUUCUUUUCUAUAACUCCAAUUAUUAGAUUGUUUAGGGUUUUGAGUAACUUUCGAUUUUGGAAUUUUAGAUUUUUUAAAUUUAAAUAUGAAGUGCUCUUCUUCUUCUCCAAACCCACAAAUUUUUCUGCCAAAUUUCUACUCAAGGUUUUACUUUCAGCUAUAAAUAAAGCGUAUAUUAUAUUUAUAAUGAUCUAAGAAUAGUAGAGUCGAUGCCGAUCUACAUGAAAAAGGAUGAAAAAAAAAGGCAAAGAAUGAUAAUAUGAAGAGAGCAUAAAUCAAUAAAGCAAAUGAAAAACGAGCAGGAUUAAAGUAAAUGGGUAUUUAAUAUUUUUUUGUGAAAGUUCAAAGACUGAUUAUUUAUAAAAUUGGAUGUGGAAAAAUUAGUUGGAAUUUUUUUUCUUACACCAAUUGAUUUUUUAUAUAAAAUUUUUAUUUAUUUUUAAGUGUUGAAACCACUUUUUGAAAACAAAAAAAAAGUGUUACUUUUAUUUUGAAAACGGAAACGAAAAAAUGGGAGUCGCCACCGAUAUUUUUUUUGAGGUGUGAUCGGAUCACCUUAAAACAAUUUUGGUCUACGAAUAAAAAAAUGGGUCCGGGAGUCAAUUACGUAGGAGGAAGGAUUAGCACCCUCAUAACGCCCAAAAUUGAUACCGAAUUGCAUAAUUAAUGUCUUAAAGUCGAAUGUCGAAAAUUCAAAAAGAUUAAAAAUGAUCCCCUUUAAUUAAUGACAUAUUUUUAAACAAUAUUUGUAUAAAUUUGAUCAUAUGUAGAAAGGUCUUCUCAUCCUGAGUCAACAAAAUGUCGUAUCCCAUAAGUUAGGAUGCGACAUUUAGAUUUCCGAGCAUAAUCUAGCCUUUAAAACCCUUUAUUGAAACUUUAUGUAUUUGAAAACUAAAAAUGUUUGACCAUCUUGGUUCAAUGAGGAAAUCGAAAACCCGUAAGUUAGGACAAAUUUCCUCAAAGUUCCAAAGACGAUAUAUACGUUUGCCUUUAUUUAAAAAAAAAAGAUACUCGGUUACUUAAAUUCAACGAGGAAAAUUGGAGCCUAAUAAGUUAGGGCACAAUCUUCUCGAAAAUAUUGGAUACCGGGUAUUACGUUAUUUUGAAAACUUUGAAUAAAAUGAUUUCAAUACUUUGACUAAACGCAACAUUUUAAAUGAAUAAAAUGCGAUGGAACAAUAACGUAUAACGCGAAGUGAUAAUUCGUAAACUAAAAUAUACGCUAAUGAUCGACAAAGAAUCAAUGAAUACGAGUAAGCAAUACAAUACAUCAUAUAAGAGCAACAAUCUCAUAUCCCACAUUAUGCAAAUACUAACAUCCAUUUUAGCAAGCUAAAUGAAUUAAAAGUUAAUUAAAGAACAGCAAGCAAAUUAAUGUAAAUCUAAUAUAACAAGCUUUAAAAUAAAAUAAAAAUAAAAAUCAUGAAAAAGAGGAAAAUUCAAACACUAAAUUGUAUGUAUAAAAUAUUUGGCACAAAUAAUAUAUAGGAAAACUUGCAAUAAAAAAAUGAAGAAAAUAAAGAAUAAAUAAGAUGCAAAAUAAUACAUGUUCAUCUAAAUAAGUAGUACAUAUAAAAUAAAAUUUUAAUAUAAAUGUUGAAAUAAACAAAGCGUGUAAUUGAACAUCAUUUCCACUAACUAGAUCCUUCUUCGUCAACUGCUGCGAUUGCCUUUCUUUGACUUUCUUUUUCGCCUCUUCUCAUGUUGGUUUUCAACCAAAUUCACCAACCAUUUCGGUUUUCCAGUUUGGAAAACAACAUAUCCCACCAACAUUCCGAACACUACUCCGCAUCCAUAACCUAUCAACACCACUUUCCAACCAAAAGUAAUGUUUGAUUUUGAGCCAUCUUUUUCAAGCACAUCUGGAGGUGUUGGCGCAAUGAUGUUGCAACCUUUCGAGACCGGAAACCCACAUAUGAAUCAUUUCCAAAUGUGUUGAAUUGUUUGCCUUGAGGAAUCUGACCAUGGAGUUGAUUUUCAGAAACAUUUAAGGACAAAAGAAAUGGCAGAUCUACCAAUCUAUUUGGAAUGGUUCCAGACAACCUGUUUGAAGAUAGUGUUGGCACAUAAUUAAAUUAACCUUGCACAAAUAAAUUAUGAAAAGUUAGAAGAGUGAAGAGACUUGAAUAUGAAAAGUGAAAAAACUUGAAUAUGAAUAGUGAAGAGACUUGAAGAUGAAAAGUUAAGAGGCUUGAAUAUGAAAAGAUACACACAUGCAUGAAUAGUCACAACUCCUAGCAUAUAGUGAUAUAGAUGAAUAGUCACUUACAACUCCUAUAUAAAGAGUUGUAUGUGAUGAAGAAUUAUUAACUUUGUGUGCUUGAAAUAAAAGAUUAUUUGAAAGAAUUUUUUCAUACAAAAUUUAUUUCUCUUCUCCAUUAUAUUCUUUAUCAUUUUCUUUGUUUUAUUUCUCCAAAUAUUAAUCAUUCAACUACAAAUUGGUAUCAAAGCCUUGUUCAAUCGAAAUGAACAAUUCUAUUCCUCUUUCUUCCGUUCCCCAAUUAACCAAAGAAAAUUAUGGCAAAUGGAGUAUCCAAAUGAAGGCUCUUCUUGGAUCUCUAGAAGUUUGGGAGAUUGUUGAAAAAGGUUAUAAUGAAGUUGAGGGUGAAGAGGAGGAAGGAUUAACACAAGUUCAAAAAGAGAGUCUAAGAAAAUCAAGGAAGAAAAAUCAGCAAGCCUUAUUUUGGAUAUAUCAAGGAGUUCAAUCAUAUGAAGCGGCUUGGGAAAAAAUAGCUUGUGCCACCACGGCAAAACAAGCAUGGGAAUUUUUACAAAAUUCAUUCAAAGGAGAUGAAAAGGUGAAAAGAGUUCGGUUGCAAACUCUUUGAGGAGAGUUUGAAAGAUUGCAAAAAAUAGAGUCAGAAUCAGUUUCUGAUUACUGUUCACGGGUUUUGUCCAUAGUCAAUCAAUUAAAAAGAAAUGGUGAAACUAUGGAUGAUAUUCGUGGUGUUGAGAAAAUCCUCCGUUCUUUAGAUUCCAAAUUUGACUACAUUGUGGUUGCCAUAGAAGAAUCAAAGGACUUGAGUACCAUGACUAUUGAUGAACUCACAGGUUCGUUGCAAGCCCAUGAAGAAAGAUUAAACAAGAAGAAAAAGGAAGUAGAUCUAGAUCAAGCACUUCAGUCAAAGUUGUCUCUAAAUGAGAAUAAGGGAGAUUUUAAAAAUCAAAGAGGGAGAGAUCGUGGUCGUGGAAGAGGAAGAAAUUUUAGAGGAAGAGGCUCAAAUGCUCGUGAAAGAGGUGAAGAUGUAAGCAUGGAGAAUGGAUGGAAAGAAGCCAACCAAAGUCAAAAUUUUAGAGGAUCACAAAGAGGACGUGGACGUAGAAAUCAAAGAGGAAGAGGUCGUGGCUAUUUUGAAUGUUAUAAUUGUCGCAAACCUGGUCAUUUGGCAAGUGAAUGCUGGUACAAAGAAGAAGAGAAAAAUGAAGCUAAUAUAGUACAAAAUAAUCAAGAGCAAAAGCAAGAAACUUUGUUGCUCGUAUCUCAUGGUGGAGAGAUUGAUGAUGUCUGGUACAUAGACAGUGGUGCUAGCAAGCAUAUGACAGGUAACAAAAAUUUAUUUUCGAAGUUCUUUGAAUCUGAUUGUGGAGAAGUAAAAGUAGGAGAUGGCAAAGCUUACAAAGUUAGCGGUGUUGGUGAGUUGGAGUUCAAAACAAAGCAAGGAAGGGUAGAGAAAAUGUCUGAAGUUUAUUUUGUUCCUGGUCUUAAAAAUAAUCUGCUUAGCGUUGGGCAUCUCUUGAAGAAGGGGUAUGAUAUUCAUUUCCGAGACAUGGCUUGCUAUUUAUCAAAGAAAAAUCAGGUUGUUGCUAGAGUUGGAGUGGCAUCAAAUAAUCUUUUCUCUCUUACCCUUCAAAAUCAGAAUAUGUCUUGUUUUAUUGGUGCUCAUAAAGGAAUUUCAAAGUUAUGGCAUGAUAGAUAUGGACAUUUAAACUAUGGAAAUUUGGAGAUGCUUUCAAGGAAGAUGAUGGUUAGAGGUUUACCAAAAAUCGAUCGGCUUGAUGAUGUUUGUGAAGCAUGUCAACUUGGAAAGCAACAUAAAAUUGCUUUUCCUUCUCAAUCCUCGUGGAAAGCAAGAAGACCAUUGCAACUUAUUCACUCAAAUCUUUGUGGUCCAAUGACAGUUUCAUCUUUAGGAGGUAAUCGUUACUUUAUCUCUUUCAUUGAUGAUUACUCAAGAAAGUUAUGGGUGUAUUGUGUCAAAGAAAAAUCAGAGGCUUUUCAGAGAUUCAAAGAUUUCAAGGCAGAAGUGGAGAACUUUACUGGGUUGAAAAUUAACACCUUGCGUACAGAUCGUGGAGGUGAAUAUUUUUCAAAAGAAUUUGAGAAAUAUUGCCGAGAUAGUGGCAUCCGGCAUGAAAUGACAGUCCGCCAUACACCUCAGCAAAAUGGUGUGUGUGAAAGAAAGAACAGAACAAUUAUGGAAAUGGCUAGAUGUCUUCUUAAUAAGAAGAGGUUAUCAAGAAGAUUUUGGGCUGAAGUUGUUUCCUGUGCAGUUUAUCUUAUAAACAGAUCACCGACAAGAAGCUUGGAGAAUUACACACCACAUGAGGCGUGGUAUGGUAUAAAGCCUAGUGUUAGUCAUCUUAGAGUAUUUGGGAGUGUUGCCUACUCUCUAUUCCAGAUGCAAUGAGAAGCAAGUUGGAUGACAAGUCAGAGAAAUGCAUUUUUAUUGGCUAUAGUGAAAGAAGUAAGGCAUACAAGUUGUAUAAUCCGGUGACAAAGAAGAUUGUGAUAAGCCGAGAUGUUCGGUUUGAUGAAAAUUCCAUGUUUGAAGAUAUGGAAGUUGAAAAGGAAAAUUUGCCAAUUUUUCCUUUUGAACUUGAAGAAGAAGAAGAGGCAGUAAUUGAGAAUGCUGAAGAUGAUGCUCAAGUAGAAAAUCCUCCUGCUUCCCCAUGUUCUUCAUCAAAUUCUUCUUCAUCCAGCCCGAUCCGAAAAACGAGAAGCAUCCAAGAGUUAUAUGAUGUAACGGAUGAAGUUGUGCAAAAUGAUGCUGUAUUCUUUGCCUUCUUUGCAGGAGAAGAUCCAAUUUCUUUUGAUGAUGCAUAUCAAGAAGAAAUAUGGAGGAAAGCCAUGAAAUAAGAGAUUUUCUCAAUUGAAAACAAUGAUACAUGGGAACUCACAGAUUUACCGCCGCACAAGAAUUCAAUUGGAGUCAAAUGGGUGUACAAGACAAAGAUGAAUCCGAAUGGCUCUAUCAACAAGUACAAGGCAAGACUGGUUGCAAAAGGAUACAAGCAAAAGGAAGGAGAAGAUUUUACAGAGGUAUUUGCUCCAGUUUCAAGACUUGAGACAGUUCGGUUACUUAUUUCUCUUGCUGCCCAAAAUAAUUGGAAAAUAUUCCAAAUGGACGUAAAAUCUGCGUUUUUGAAUGGUGUUCUCAAAGAAGAAGUCUAUGUUGAUCAACCACCAGGGUUUGUCAAAAAAGGAGAAGAAGAAAAAGUUUACAAGUUGAAGAAAGCUUUGUACGGGUUGAAGCAAUCACCCAGAGCAUGGUACAGCCGCAUCGAUUCUUAUUUUCAGAAGUGUGGAUUCCAGAAAUCUCCAUAUGAGCAUACUCUCUACAUCAAAGGCAAUUAUCAAGGAAGAUUCAUGGUUGUAAGUCUCUACGUUGAUGAUCUUAUUUUCACAGGAAAUGAUGUGAAGAUGUUGAAAGAAUUUCAGCACUCAAUGAUGGCAGAAUUUAAGAUGACAGAUUUGGGAGAACUUCAUCAUUUUCUUGGCAUUGAAGUUCAUCAAUCCGAGAAAGGAAUUUUUAUUUCACAAGAGAGCUACGCAAAGGAAGUUCUAAAAAAAUUCAUGAUGGAAAAUGCGAAUCCAGUCUCUACUCCAUGCAUUACAGGUCUGAAGUUAUCUAAAGAGGGUGAAGGAAAGCUUGUCAAUUCCACCAUAUUCAGAAGUUUGGUUGGGAAGUUGAUGUAUCUGACUUCGACAAGGCCUGAUAUCGUGUAUGUUGUUAGCUUGGUAAGUAGAUUCAUGGAGAAACCUUACUCCAAUCACUGGGAGGCUGCCAAGAGAAUAUUGAGAUAUGUGAAGGGAACCAUUGAUUAUGGAAUUUUCUAUAAAUCUAAUACAUUAGUUGAUCUCAUUGGUUAUACGGAUAGUGAUUUAGCAGGAAGCAUUGAUGAUAGCAGAAGCACUUCUGGUUAUGUUUUUCACCUUGGUAGUGGUGCAGUUUCAUGGAGUUCAAAGAAACAAUCAAUUGUGGCGCUUUCGACUAUAGAAGCUGAAUAUAUCGCUGCAUCUUAUGCAGGAUGUCAAUUGAUUUGGUUACGUGGAAUUUUGGAAAGUCUUAAGCAGAAGCAAAGCAAGUCAACAAUUUUGUUUUGUGACAAUAGUUCUACUAUUUCGGUCACAAAAGAUCCAAUUCUUCAUAGAAGGACAAAACACAUUCGCAUUCGAUAUCACUUCUUGAGAGAACUAGUGAAUAAUGGUGAUGUUCAAGUUGAAUAUUGCAAGACGGAAGAUCAGAUGGCUGAUAUCUUCACAAAGCCUCUAAGUGGACAAGUCUUCAAGAAAAAUGUUGAAAGGUUGGGAGUUCAAAGCAAGUUUAAUUUAAGGGAGGCAUUGUUGGCACAUAAUUAAAUUAACCUUGCACAAAUAAAUUAUGAAAAGUUAGAAGAGUGAAGAGACUUGAAUAUGAAAAGUGAAAAAACUUGAAUAUGAAUAGUGAAGAGACUUGAAGAUGAAAAGUUAAGAGGCUUGAAUAUGAAAAGAUACACACAUGCAUGAAUAGUCACAACUCCUAGCAUAUAGUGAUAUAGAUGAAUAGUCACUUACAACUCUUAUAUAAAGAGUUAUAUGUGAUGAAGAAUUAUUAACUUUGUGUGCUUGAAAUAAAAGAUUAUUUGAAAGAAUUUUUUCAUACAAAAUUUAUUUCUCUUCUCCAUUAUAUUCUUUAUCAUUUUCUUUGUUUUAUUUCUCCAAAUAUUAAUCAUUCAACUACAGAUAGGUCCAACCAUUCAAGACUUGUCAAAUCCCCUACUGAGGUAGGGAUACCACUAUUAAGGUUAUUAUGAGAAAGGUUGAGCCCUUUCAGUAAGUUAAGCUUCCCAAUAACCUUUGGAAUCUCCCCUUCAAACUGAUUGCUUGAUAGAUCAAUGAUCACCCACAUAGUGAAAAUUUUCACCAAUUCCACGUCUUGUCCUUUCAUAACAAUUCCAAUGGAAUAGGCAUAGAAGUCAUCUCCAUCAUUCACCCCCAUGUACGACACUGUACUACUAACCUUCUCUAGAUUUAUGAUAGCCUUGAAGCUGUUGAUGUAUCUCACUAGUAGGGGUCCAGAAAAAUAAUUACUUGAGAGGUCAAAAAUUUGGAUUUUAGAGAAAAAAGGGCUAGACUUGGAGUUAUUGACACACAGGGAACCAUGCAUUUGAUUUGACUUUAGUACAAGAACUUGUAGCUGUGGAAGACUUCCCAACCAAUGAGGAAAUGUAUCAUUGAUCUUGUUGUUACCAAGAUCUAGUACUUCCAGACCUCUACAAUUAAGGAUGGAUGGUGUCAAAGGCCCUCCUAACAGAUUUCCAUUUAAAUUGAAAUUACUCAAUUGGCAUCCCAUUGCAAAUGUUGGAGGAAUCGUCCCAUAGAACUUGUUCUUCUUCAGAUUCAAGAAUUGAAGGCUGUUGCUCAAAUUUCCAAAACACUGCGGAAUUGUUCCACUCAAGUAAUUGUGGGACAAAUCAAGAAUUUGAAGAUAAGUGGCAUUGCAUAUUAAUGAAGAGACCUCUCCAUUGAAACAAUUAUUUGAGAUCAAAAAGACAGUGAUGGUCGAAGCUGGAAUCGGAAGAUUUCCACUGAUCAAAUUGGAGCUUAAGUCAAGAACAUCAAUAUUCUUCCAUGGAAAGUGCUCAGCUUCUGUCAAAGAGUUGUGAAAUACAUUUAAGUAAGUCAAAGAGCCAUUCCCCACCUCUUGCAUCCACUAUGGAAUCUUGCCUUUAAUUUUGUUGCAAGAGAGGUCUAAGCUUUCCAAACUUUUAAGCCCUUUUAAAAAUUGGGGGAAUUCACUAAGAUUGCAAGAUGACAAAAAUAACCAUUCAAGAUUUCCACUGAUCAAAUUGGAGCUUAAGUCAAGAACAUCAAUAUUAUGACGAUAUAUAAGUUUCCCUUUAUUUUUUAAAAAAAAACCUCGUCUCGAGAUAUCGAAAGGUCAUAUCCAAUGAGUUAGGACACAACGUUUUGAAUUCCCGAGAUAAGCUUUAAUUUGAAAUUUUUAUAUUUUAAUUAAAAAAUGAUACUCAGUUACUUAAAUUCAACGAGGAAAAUUGGAGCCCAGUAAGUUAGGGCACAUUCUUCUCGAAAAUCUUGGAUACCGGGUAUUACGUUAUUUUGAAAACCUUUGAAUAAAACGAUUUCUAUACUUUGAUUAAAUGCAACCUUUUAAACGAAUAAAAUGCGAUGGAACAAUAACAUACAACCCGAAGUGAUAAUUCGUAAACUAAAAUAUAUGCUAAUGAUUGACAAGGAAUCAAUGAAUACGAGUAAGCAAUACAAUACAUCAUAUAAGAGCAACAAUCUCAUAUCCCACAUUAUGCAAAUACUAACGUCCAUAUUAGCAAGCUAAAUGAAUUAAAAGUUAAUUAAAGAACAGCAAGCAAAUUAAUGUAAAUCUAAUAUAACAAGCUUUAAAAUAAAAUAAAAAUAAAAAUCAUGAAAGAGAGGAAAGUGCUAAGGGAUAAGAUUGAAGGCCCGUAAUAUGAUCGCAAGACAAAGAAGCACGCUCUGUUAUGGAAAAAGAGUUCUUGAACUGGAUUAAUGAAGAGCAGGAGUGAGAUCCUGAAGAAGAAAAAGAAGCAUAAAGAUGGGGAAAAAAGAGGAAUAGGGAGAGAAAGAGAUAGGAGGCCAUGUUAUGUUUGUAGAGGAAGAAGGAUAGGAAUGGUAUUUAUAGGCAACAAAUAAUACCACAACAUUGGUGUUACAGUCUUUUUUUUCUUUUACAUUGAAAUGCUACAGAUAUUAGAUUUUCAAAAUAUUUGUAUUUUUCACAAUCAUCAACACUUAGUCGUCAUUUUACCAUAUAUUUUUCAUUCUUUUUUUUUUUAACAAAAUCUUGUAUAUCAUUUGGACUCGCUAAACAACUAAAAAAAUAAAGAUUGAUGAGAUUACAAAGUAGAUUGACUUAGUCUUCUUCCCUAUAACAUGUAAAGAAUGUAUGUGUCUAUUCAAUUGCCUGUCAACCAAAGCUUAUUAAUGUGGAAAUUCUUUUCCACACAAAAGAACAAAAUUGUGCUCUAUUCAGCUACGUUUGAGGAAGGAGACGGCUGGAAAUUUAAUCCACCGAUUCCAUAAAAACGUGUAUAUUUAUUUAUAAAUAUAUAUAUAACCUCAUGAUUCAAAUCUAAAAUCUCAUUUGUUAUAAAUUCUUAUAAAUUUAUUUGGGAAUAGUUAUUUUUCAUUCGUUAAUUAUUUCUCUUUUAGCCGUGAAACUUAUAUGGUUCGUUAAAUCGCCCCAAAAAAUGAUAAAAAAGAUUAACAAAACUAGCCCCUACGUGGCUGAUGUUGACCCUUAGUAGUUAAUGGCAACUCCUAUGUAAUUGUUAACAGAUACCACAGCAACAAUGUUUGUUGACGUGACAAUGCCACAUGACCAAUAAUCGUUGUCAUGGUAGUGCCACGCCGUCACCCAUUGAUGACAUAUUAACCUUCGAGUUAAACUCAAAUUGCUCUUUCCUUUGUUAUAAAUUAAGAGUAUAACUAAUUUUGAUAAGAAUAGUUACUUUUCAUUAACUCAGUUUAAAGGACUAUAACACGUAAAGUUUGGUCUAUUGCAGAAUUCACAUGCAAUGCGGGAUAUUUACAUUUUGAAGAAUUCAACACAUAUAUGGGAAUUUUUGUAUUUCCACAAUCAUAAUUUUGUUAGUGAUCAACAACUACUUCCUCCUUACCAUAUAUUUUUCAUUCAUAAAAUUGAUUACUUUUUUUAUCAAAGAAGUAAAAUAAUUAACAUUCUUAAGAUUACAAAGUCUUCUUCCUUAUAACACGUAAAGUUUAGUUCCAAAUAAUUUUCCACAAAAAAAAGACCAUCAAUUGUCGAUUGACUAUACUUUAACUCCAAAAAAAAGACUAAGACUAUCAAUUGUCUAUUGACUACACUUUAACUCGACAAAAAAGGACUAAGACUAAGACUUUCAAUUGUCUAUUGACUUCACACUUGCGGUUGCUUCCUCCUAUCUCUCUCACCCAAACUUAAUUUAGAAGCAAUGGGGAAAUUUUGGACAUUUGGGCCACAAUGAACAAUACUUCCACACCAUUUGCAGUAUUGACUACGUUUACUUGAGGGAAAACAAAGACAUGAAUGCUGGAAAUUUUAACUAGUUUGUACCGUCAAUGAAGCUACGUACCUAAAAGCCUUUUAGGAUAUCAAUUCCUGUAAUUGGAUUAAUCUCAUCGUUGCUGCAAUCUUUUGACAGUGUAAUCGAAUCUUAAAUAUGUUACUCUGCAAUGCUGUUGUAAAAAUUACUCUUAAAAUUGUCGAUAGAUAUAUAGGUUUGGCACAAAAUUAAGAAUACACAAAGGCAGGUUGAAUUAUUCCAUGUUUGAACAUAAAUUCAUAUGGCAAAAGGGCCCAAACCAUACCUUAUGUUCAUGAAUUCUCAUCAUCACAUGUUUAUAAAUGCAUCUCAAAACUUGAAUAAUUGAAUCUUUUGUAAUUCUACAUGUAUUUUUUUUUAUGGUGAGCAGUAUAAUGUUUACUAAAAAUUGAAAUUCAAGAAAGAAGACAUACAUAGUUGCACCAUACAAGUUGUUACACUCGAACUAAACCCUUACAAAUAGUACGAGAUGCAAUGAAAUACAGAGGAAUUGGUACAAUCAUAAAGACAGACACAUACCAAUGCAACUUUUCACCAUAGGAAAAACUUUCUGACAGACUACUAAACAAGAAAUUAUGAAGACACAGCAGAAAUGCUUUGACUUCUUUUGCACCAACUAGAUCCUUCUUCAUCCAUUGAUGCGAUUGCUAUAUUUUGGCUUUCUUCUUCGCCUCUUCUCAUGUUGGUUUUCAACCAAAUUCACAAACCUUUUCACCUUACCGGUUUGGAAAACAACAUAUCCCAUGGCCAUUCCAAACACUACCCCGCAUCCACAACCUAUCAACACCACUAUCCAACCAAAAGCAAUGUUUGCUUUUGAGCCAUCCUUUUCCAGCACAUUUGGAGGUGGUGUCUCAUUGAUGCUGCAACCUUUGGAGACUGGGAAUCCACAUAGUCUCUGUUUCCUUCAUAUGAAUUGUUUCGAAAUGUAUUGACAAUCUGACCAUGGAGUUGAUUUUCAGAAACGUUUAAGAAGAAAAGAAAUGCCGGAUCUGCCAAUAUCUCUGGAAUUAACUCAGUUCAAAUGACCAUAUAACUCGUAAAGUUUGGUCGAAGACUGGCAGCGUCUAUUGACUUCAACUCUUGCUAUUACCUCAAGAAGAAAGACUGCUACAAUUCUAUCUUCUUUAAACCAGCUAUUUAAAAGCAAUAAGGACAUUAAAUCCACCAAUUUAUCUUUGAAGUCAUUCGUCAUGCAGCUCUGCUAUGUACGAUUAUUGGCAAAAAUCUUGAAAGGAGACAACCUCAAAUUUGAAGACAAGAAAUGAGCAAGAACAUGCACCAACGAAGAAUCGAUUAUUGUUUUGUAUUUGGUAAAUACAAUUUGAGUUAAAUAAUCAAGAAUGAUAGUGAAUAAAUAAGGAAAAACAAUGUAGAUUCAGAACCACAAUAAAUCAUAUUAAGCUCAUGAGUUUAUAAUAUAUAUCUCUGCAGCUUGAUUGCCUUGUUAGCUAUAAACAUAACCUGUUAAUUCCAUCAUUAAUACCAUUAGAUAUAUUUUGAUGGGGGAGAUUUUUUAGUAGGAAAACAGUUGAAGUCAUUCAAGAAGACAUAAACAGCUGCAACUACGUAAGAGUUUAACUUUGAGAAUAGAUCCUUACACGUUAUUGAAAUGCCAUACUAAAGAUAAAGACAUAUAGCUAAACGUUAGACACACCAUAAAAAUAUAUAUAGGUAAAGUGAUAGGGUGUGAGUAAGGAGGCCAUGCUAUGUUUUCAAAUAAGAUUAUCAUGGUAUGAAUUAUGAGAACCCUAUUUAUAGGAAGAACAAAACCGAUAUGAAACUAAGAAUAUAGUCCAUUGAUAAUGAAGAAUCUAAGAAAUUUAAUGGAAAUUGUGGAUAAGCAUCGUGUUUUUAUCUCUGAUGGAGAAAAGCUAAGAGUGUGAGGAAGACCAACUGUCAAUGUCACCCAAACCGAAUCUACAAGUCACCACAAUGUACAGUAAUUCAAAGCAGGAAAAGUUCAUAGUUUCAGAGUAAAUAACACUUCAAUGAUUGUAUUAUAGAAAACAUGUGUAUCCUAUAUAUGUUGAACAAUAUUAUCUAACAAACAUAUUUUCCAAAAGACUAGAAAAUUUGUGAUUAAAUGCUAAAGUUACAUAUUUUAUGUAAUUAAAUUGGUUAAUUUAUGAGAGUGCACCACUAAUUUUUCCAUGUUUUUGUUGAAUUUUGUGCAGGGGUGCAAUUUGGGGCUAAAUAGAAGAAAAAGGAAACAAUUGGGCUAGAUUGAAGAGAGAAGCAAAGAAGGAGGGCCAAAACAGAAUUUUUCCAGAUUAAUUAGCUGAAAUUUUUGUUGACUUAGUGGGAGAUUAUUUUGGGAUUUUUUUUUAUAUCAUGGAAUAUUUUUCCUUAAUUUUCUAUACUAGUUGGCUUUUAAUUUAGCAAGGCCACUAGUAUAAAUAGAGGCUACAUUGUUCAUUUUAAUCAUCAAGUCUUGAAUCAAUUCAUAAAUCAAGCUUUCAUCUUUCAAUACAUUCUCUCUUUUCUACUCACAAAUUUAUUUGUUGUUUUUAGUUUCAUUUACUUUCAAUCCAUUAAUUUCCAGCUUGUUACCACUUAAACCAUUUUCAAUUUCUUUUUCAAACUUUCUUUCCAUCUCCAGUAGCUAAUUCACUUUAUUACACCCCCAAAAUUCCAGCCCCCCAAACUAAAUCACGCCACCCAUUCCUUUCACCCAUUUUACCUUAUUUAAUUUAUCCAAUACCAACAUGCCCCAAACCUUAGCCAACUAAAUUCAUUUCCAGCUUUAGGUCGGAAUUAGCCUCGUCAAAACCCGUGAGUUACGAACCCGAGCAAAUUAACUCCUAAAUUUUAGUACUUAUUAUUUCUCCGGAUUAAGAGUAUGAUUUUGUCAACUCACAAAGUCAGAUCAACAUUAAGUUAAAAAAGACGUCGUUUGAUUUAGUGUGGUUAGACGUACAGUUGGAAUUCCAAAAAGAUCGAUUCUAAUCGGUUUUCUGUGAACACAUUGGCGUGCCAAUUGGAGAUUGCUGUUUGGUUCCGUCAAGGGAAGUAGUAACCCGAUUUAAAUGUCCCACGCGGUUGAGGGCAUUGGUUCGAGCUAGGGUUUUCUAGAACGCAAAGCUGCCGGAGUUCUAAAUCACGAACAUUUCGUGGUUGUUCGAUCAGUAAGGGUUAGUUAUUGGACGUUCCAUAACUAAUUUACACAAGGAAGAGUUAGUGUCUGAGGCGUCCUUGGUAGCUAUAACUAGCUUAUUGGAAAAGAGGAGUUCAUCUAAUUUUGAGAAUCGGUUCAAAGACGAGGAAAAUUCGUGCCUAAAGCUGAGCUUAUUCUAAUUAAAUUUUCUUCAUAUUUAUUUAACUAUUUUAAUUAUUCUGUUUUCAACUUUAUCUUUUCACGCAUUUUAUUUAUUUAUUUCAGGUCUUCAAAUUUUAUCCCCCCGAACUUCUUGGGCACGACAACUGCCCCAACAUAAAUCUGGUCAAAAUAGAAACAAUUUGCAGUAAACCCAGUCUCUGAGGGAUCGACCCUACUCCCUAUACUGUUUAAAUCGCAAAUUAGGCGUAGGUUUAUAUUGGUGGAUUCGACACCCAUCAAUUUGUAUGUCAUUUUCUAUUACUUGCAAGAAAACUACAGGGGAAAUUGCAUUUCUAAUUCAUCCAUAGGCUUUAAAUUCAAACAAGAAAAAGGAAAAAGAAUAUAUAUAUAUCAACAGGAAACUUCAAGGAGAGAAAUUUUGUUACAUCAAUUUUCCAGUCAUAUUUAAUCUUUACCCAAAGUUGAUUCUAGAUUAAAUUUGGAAAAAAUUAAAAAAGAGGACAUGUAUUUUUUUUUAUUUUUGAAAAGUAAAGGAUUAUAUCUCAGCCAAAUAAAAAAGUCACAAUGCAAAGCCAAGAGCCAAAGCCAAGCCAAGCACACACUCAACUAGCAGACAUAACUCAUACAGGACCUAGAUGUAUUAUUGAACUCUUAUAUAAAAGACAACUGAAGAUGCAAAGCUUAAUUGUUAAGCUUUUCUGAUGCUUGAUAAGCAUAGUUUUAGUUCAGUUCCGAAAUCUAAACUGCUUUGCUAUGGGAUUAUUUUUAUAAGUACAUUGAGAUCAAUGCAUGCUAUUGCGAUUUAUUAUCUUUGAUGCCAAGGAAAUGACAGAAUUCAAAGACCAAAAGGUUCGAUUACAUACUAGAUCAUGGAUGUAAGCCAAUCUACAACCUCUCUCCUCGACCUCCAUGUGAAACCAGCAUGAUUUGAAUUCUCAGCCGCAUAUACCCUCACAAACUCCUCAGCAACAACAUAAAACAUAUACCUAACACUCCUUUGAGAACCGAUAACUGCACAGACAGAUUCACUAAUGGAAGCCUUCAAGAAAUAUUGAACCACACAAUUACCACACUUCUGUGAAAUAAACUUGUUGGUGCAAAGAGACAACAAUAGACUGUUUUCAAUCUUGCUUGUAUAGCAAGCCUCGAGCCUUGCUGAAGAAACAAACUCAAAAGCAAGAACAGAAACACAUGCGAAUGAAAAACAAAAGAAAUUGAGAGAGAGAGUAUUUUGAAUGAAAAGAGCUGAUAUUUCAUUAACAAAUCCAGAAGGCAUAAUGCCAUUACAUAUAAUAGAUAACAACAACAAAAUGAACAAGUCUUUACCUAAUGACAUACCUAACACCACUAAAUUUACAUUGGAAAUUGUUAAUCAGCUUGCUUAAGUUUCUUUGCUGAUUUUUUCAGUCAAUCAAUCAACAAAAAACAUCAUAAGGUUUACCAACUUAGUUCAACAUGAACUAGAUUACAAAAUAAUAAUUAAAAAUACAAUCAAAACAUAACAAGUAGUUAGGCAACUUUAAGCUCCAGUUUCUGCACUUCAUAGCUCGACUGCUUGCUGCCACUUCUCCUUGCAUGGCCACCUUUGCAUGUCUUGCAUGGGAACUAAAUUCAACACUCCUCCUUAGUUUCCAUGCUAGUGACACCUAAUUGCCUUCUUAAUUUAACAAAUUUAGACACAUUGAGUGCCUUUGUAAAGAUAUCAGCAAUUUGCUCUUCUGAAUUGCAAUGAACCAGCUCGAUUUCAUGAGCUUGCUCCAUCUCCCUUAUGACAUGUAGCUUGAUGUUGAAGUACUUUGCUCUACCAUGAAAGAUAGGAUUCUUUGCAAUUGCAACAGCAGAUUUGUUGUCACAGUAAAUCUCUGUUGCCUUUCCUUGAUUUUGAUUUAAAUCAGCUAGGAUUUUUCUAAGCCAUAUGGCUUGAUUUACAGCAGAUGCAGCAGCAACAUAUUCAGCUUCUGCUGUUGACUGUGCUACCAGACUUUGCUUUUUAGAACUCCAGCAAAACAUGCCUGAGCCAAGACUAAAGGCAUAUCCAGAUGUGCUUCUCAUGUCAUCACAAGAUCCAGCCCAGUCACUAUCAACAUAGCCUAUUAGCUUCAUGUUUAUAGCCCUUUUGAACAAUACACCAUGAUCAAUGGUGCCUUUGAUGUAUCUAAGCACUCUUUUAGCUGCUUGAAAGUGCUGAUCAUUGCAGCAAUUCAUGUAUCUGGAUAGCACACUAACAGCAAACAUGAUAUCGGGUCUUGUUGCAGUCAAAUACAACAGACUACCAAUGAGACUUUUGUACAUAGUCUCGCAAAUUGGUUCACCACUCCCUUGCCUCGAAAGCUUCACUCCAACAGCCAUUGGUGUGCUUGUUGGCUUGCAGUUCUUCAUAGAGAACUUAUCCAGGAUCUUCAUAGUAAAAGAACUCUGACUAAGAAAGAUUCCCUUUGCUGUUUGCUUCACUUCCAUUCCAAGGAAGUAGUUCAUUCUGCCUAAAUCAGACAUUUCAAACAUUUCCAUCAUUUUUCUUUUGAAAUCUUCCAGCAUUCUUCUAUCUCCUCCAGUCACCAAUAAAUCAUCAACAUAGAGUGACAGGAUAAGCUGAGUUUCAGCUUGGUUCUUCUUCACAUACAGUGUUGGUUCACUGAGACUUCUCUCGAAUUCCAAACUGAGCAAGUAAGAAUCAAUUCGAGCAUACCAGGCUCAAGGAGCCUGUUUUAGGCCAUACAAAGCCUUUUUCAGUCUGUACACCUUGUGUUCUUUGCCAGUGACCACAAAUCCUUGAGGCUGUUCGAUGUAGAUCUCUUCUUCCAGGAAACCAUUGAGAAAUGCAGACUUAACAUCAAGCUGAUGAAUGGUCCACUGAUGUUGAGCAGCCAAGGCAACUAUCAUUCUAACUGUGUCAAGCCUGGCUACUGGUGCAAAUGUCUCCAGAUAGUCCAGACCAUACCUUUGGCUAAAACCUUUGACAACAAGCCUGGCUUUUAGCUUGUUCAGACUGUCAUCUGCAUUCUGUUUUGCUCGAUAGACCCAUUUUACUCCAAUGGUCUUCUUUCCAGUAGGUUUAUCAACUAGCUCCCAUGUCUGGUUCUUCUCAAUCAUGUUGAUUUCAUCGACCAUAGCUAGUUUCCAGCCUUCAUCUGCCUCAGCCUCUUCAAAACUGCUAGGUUCUGCUAUUGCAACCUGUGCCCUUUCAUAAAUAUCAUCUAGGGGCCUUGUGCCUCUCACAAGCACAUCAUCAACAUCCAUUUCAGGUCCUAGCUGCUCAAGUUCAGCUUGAUUAGGCACCAGGUCUUCUGAAGCAGCUUCUGGUUCAUUCUUUUCCCAAUUCCAACAAGCCUUCUCAUCGAAGAUGACAUCUCUGCUCACUUGAACUAUGUUUGUCAAAGGAUCCAGCACCCUGUAGCCCUUCUUAACUGAGCUAUAGCCUACUAGAACACCUGGUUGAGCCCUUUCAGAGAGCUUGUCUCUCUUAACUGCUGGUAUUUGUGCAUAACACAGGCAACCAAACACCUUCAGAUGUACCAAGGAAGGCUUGAAACCGGACCAAGCCUCGAAAGGUGUUUUGGAUGCAAGAGCUUUGGUAGGAAGCCUAUUUUGAAGGUAGACAGCAGUGUUUACUGCCUCAGCCCACAUGGUCUUGGGCAGUUUCUUCUCAAACAGCAGGCACCUGGCCAUAUCCAUCAAGCUUCUGUUCUUUCUUUCUGAUACCCCAUUCUGCUGAGGUGUGUAGACAUUUGUAAGCUGGUGUUUGAUACCAGCAUCAUUGCAAAUGGCUUGAAACUGAGCUGAAGUGUACUCAGUGCCAUUGUCUGACCUUAUCGAUUUCAGCUUGCAACCUGUUUCUGUCUCUACAGCAAUUUUAAACUUCACAAACACUUGAGCUACCUCAAACUUGUGUUUUAAGAAGAAAAUCCAGCAAAACCUUGUAAAAUCAUCAAUGAAGAGGAUGAAAUACCUAUUUUUCUUGAGUGAUUCAGUCCUCAUCGGGCCACAUACAUCAGAGUGCACCAGCUGUAGUUUUUUAGUAGCUCUCUAAGCUGAAUUUGUAGGAAAUGGCAGUCUUGCCUGUUUCCCCAUCUGGCAAACUUCACACACAUCAUCAUGCUCCACUGAGCUAGUAAAGUUCUCUGCCAAGCCUUCUUUGGCCAUUCGAGCCAAUGAUCUGAAGUUGGCAUGCCCAAGCCUUUGAUGCCAAAGCUUGGAAUCAUCAACAGAGGCUGUAUAUGCAGACUUUGAGUCAUUUGGCCAGUGUACCUCAAAGCAUUUGUUAGUCAUUGUGACUGUCAUAAGGCUUGAUCCACUUGGAUCAGCAAUGUGGCACUGUUUGUUCUUGAACACAACAGAAUAGCCUUUCUUGAGCAAUUGAGCUAUGCUGAGAAGGUUUCUGUCGAUUUCUGGCACUAACAGCACAUUUGGAAUGAUCUUGUUGCCUGUGGGGGUACAUAUCAGCACCUCUCCUCUUCCUUCAGCCCUUAUGAACUGACCAUUUCCAACCUUGACCUUGGUUUUACAACUUCUAUCCAAGGUUUUAAAUAAGGAGGCAUCUGGUGACAUGUGGUUAGUGCAACCACUGUCCAAUAACCAGCCUUUUGAGCAUUUCUUCUCAGCAGCUAAGAAAGAAACAGCAAAGACCUGCUCUUCUUGAUCACUACUGUCCUCAGCUACUCGAGCUUCAACCUUUGGUUGUUGAAAUUGACUCUGCCUUGACUUGGUUUUAUUUUUGCAAACCCUUUCAACAUGGCCUUUCUUCUUGCAGUGUUGGCAUACUGCAUCUGGCCUGAACCAGCAUCUGUCUUCUGGAUGACCUGGCCUCUUGCAAUGUCUGCAGGGCUGGUCAUUGCUCCUUGCAGUAUCAGGCUUAGGCCUGCUUUUCCAAGGCUUUUUACCUCUUGGAGCAUUGAUGCUCGAGGCUUCUCUGGCCUUGGCAUUGAAUGCACCUUCCUGGUGGUCUUCAGCUCUGCUAGCUCUCCUUUGUUCCUGAGCAUAGAAAGUGUUGAUUAGCUCAGUCAAAGAGAUGGUAGCAAGGUCUCUUGAGUCCUCAAGAGAGGAUAUCUUGGCCUCAUAUCUCUCAGGCAAAGUGGAGAGAACUUUCUCUACUAUCCUUGCCUCAUCAAAGUGCUCACCAAGGAGCCUUAUACUGUUAACCACUGCCAUGAUUCUAUCUGCAUACUGCUUCACUGUUUCUUCUUCCUUCAUCUUCAGGUUCUCAAAAUCCCUUCUCAAAUUCAAUAGCUGUUGUUGCCUUGUUCUCUCAGUGCCUUGAAACUCCUCCUUAAGCUUAUCCCAUGCCUGUUUUGGAGUCUCACAGGCCAUAAUUCUGGUGAAGAUGACAUUUGACACACAAUUCUGAAUGCAGGACAUGGCUUUGUGCCUUUUGGUCCUCUCAUCAGCAUGUUGCCUAAUCUGAGCUACUGUGGGAUUGGCCCUCAGUGGUGCUGGCUCAGCAUCUGUGUUGACAACUUCCCACAGAUCAAAGGCCUGUAGGUAAGUCUUCAUCUUGACCAGCCAUAUGUGAAAGCCUUCUCCAUUGAAGACUAGUGGGGCUGCUGGUGAAAAACUUGAGGAAGACAUUCAGCUUUCUUAGUUUGAUAAAACAGGUCCACUAAGAAUGAAGCUCUAGAUACCAAUUGUUGGUGCAAAUAGACAACAACAGACUGUUUUCAAUCUUGCUUGUAUAGCAAGCCUCGAGCCUUGCUGAAGAAACAAACUCAGAAGCAAGAACAGAAACACAUGCGAAUGAAAAACAAAAGAAAUUGAGAGAGAGAGUAUUUUGAAUGAAAAGAGCUGAUAUUUCAUUAACAAAUCCAGAAGGCAUAAUGCCAUUACAUAUAAUAGAUAACAACAACAAAAUGAACAAGUCUUUACCUAAUGACAUACCUAACACCACUAAAUUUACAUUGGAAAUUGUUAAUCAGCUUGCUUAAGUUUCUUUGCUGAUUUUUUCAGUCAAUCAAUCAACAAAAAACAUCAUAAGGUUUACCAACUUAGUUCAACAUGAACUAGAUUACAAAAUAAUAAUUAAAAAUACAAUCAAAACAUAACAAGUAGUUAGGCAACUUUAAGCUCCAGUUUCUGCACUUCAUAGCUCGACUGCUUGCUGCCACUUCUCCUUGCAUGGCCACCUUUGCAUGUCUUGCAUGGGAACUAAAUUCAACAAAACUCCUUCUGCCACUCGAAACAAUGACCAUUCCAAACAUUUUGAUAGACAAUACACAAUUUGCUUCACUACUUACUCACAUAGCCAAAAAAUAUCCAAUGAAACUGGCAAAGGGUUCUUCCAAAAUGGUACAUUAGCUGCCAAAAAGACAACCACCAUAUAUUCCUUCAUUCAGUAAACAGCUUCAAUAUGGAAAUAAGUUAUUAUCUUAAAAAUGCUUUUUCUACCACAGAAGAAUAAGAACUAGGCAUCUCAGAAAAUUUGCUAAAUUAAUGACUUUGCUCCCUUCAAAAUAAACAAAUGAUUAACUGCAUUAUCCCAAAGAGGUCACCAUCAACCUCCAGUUGAACUUUCAAGGAAUAAUAAUAAAAAAUAGAAGGAAAUAAGGGGGAAAAAACCCAACCAGAACUCAGUAAUAGCUGAGCCUUGAAGAUCUGUAGGUAGUAAGAGAAAAACCCCAUGACGACUAAAGUCCAGGCUUGAAAGAACCAAAAGGGAGCAACAUAUGACUAUGAUUCACUGGACCAAGAGAAUCACCAAUGAAUAAAGGAAAAAGGGUACUUUCCUUUAUACCUAAACAUACAAUAUUUAGCCUCAAAAUGGGAAAAUUUCAGGUUUUCACAAAGGGUUUAAGAAAGAGGGUGAAAGUUAAAGAACUUGUCUUUGUUUUGAUGUGUGGUACACGAGAUAGUGAAGGAAAAUAGAGGUGAGGAAAUAAGAUGGAGUAAGUGCCUAAGUGGUGAAAAAGGAGAGCCUAAAAGAGACAUUUUUGAAGGGUAGUUUAGAAGCUGCAGAGGCUUUGGCAUACAGCAGCUGAUAAUGAGAGAAGACAAACCAGAAAUGUAAGUACGACGACGAUAAAAAUUAAAAAAUUUUAAGAAUUAAUGAAAUAAAAUUUUGUAGCUUAGCGAAUUGGGACGAAGUCCACCAGUGUGAUGCCCAUAGAUCCAUACCUGGGAUUUUUCUAUUUGGGCUAACUUUCUAACUUCUCCCACCAGUCUUAAAACUUUGCAGAUUUUUUCAAUUUGAUCUGGAUUGUAUGAUAACAUAUCACUUUGAGAUUGGAAAAAAAAUUAUUUUUUUUAAAUUAGAGAAAAAAUAAAGAAACUAAAUUUCAAGCAUGCAAAGUACAAAAGAAAGAACUGUAUUAAUAAAAGAUGAGUUACUUCACUCAGAUUGGAGUACCCUUUAAACAAGUUUAUUCUUGUAGAGAAAGAAACUGGAUUUUGAUUUCAUUUGCUGUGGCAAAAUUUUUAAUUUCAACAACAGUAUAACAUAUUGAAAGCCUGCCUACAUCUCGGCAGAAAAAUUUACAAAUUCUUUCAUCAGACAAUUUAAAUGAUGCAAUGCAAAGAUUCAUCAAUGUAUGAUCUUUUUAUCAUAAAUGGCUGUUUUACUGGAAAACUUGAUAUGUACUGUCUUUCACAUUCUUUUGUGCUGAAUGGUCUCUGAAAACUGCAAUCAUCAACUAUAGAUAACCCAUUCCUCAGCGCCGCCAGAGCCGACCUUGUUGUUUCUGUUCUUGAACUUGCCUGUGUCAUCAAAGGCAGUGAGCAUUUAUCAAUGUUAUAAAAAUGGCAUAUCGAAGUCAGAUUUUACUUGACAAUACACAAAUGUAAGAAGAUAAUUCACCUUUGAUACUCUUUAGAACGCUCGAGAAACUCUUUCGCGAUGUCUUUUCUUUAAUAUGAUUGCAAUACUUGUCUGAUAUCAGCCGGACCAUUGUGUUAGUACAAAACUCCGGUAAGGAAAAAAACUCGAACACACGAUCGGAACUCGAAAAGAAAAAGAAGAAAUAGGACAGGCUCCAAGGCGUGUAUCAAGCCACUAUCUUUAAGGUUAUAUUCGCCCCCACUUAUCUUCAGUGUGCAAACGAGUUCCAAGCAAAUUAACCUCGAGGAUACAAUGAAGCCAAUGACUAUUUGCGUUUUGCACUGACGAGAAUAGUCCACUAUACACUAAGUAAUGUAUAACAAAAACUCAAUUUCUACAAAGGAUUUCUGCAGCAAUACUUUAUAGAAUAAUCUAAUAAUAUUAGAAAAUGAAGGAAGAGAAGAAAUAAUAUUAGAAUUUGUUGAUAUGAUUUCCAAAUGAAAUCCCAUUCCUAUUUAUAGGAAUUUUCAUGUCUCUUCAUAGAGACAUCUUUCAAUAGGUGUCUUUAUGAAUAAAUAAAUAAUAAUAAUUAUUCAUUUAAUUUUGUAACUAUUCAAAUAAUAUUUUUUGAAUAGUUAUAAUUCUUUUUUAAAAAAUCAAAUGAUAUAACUUUUGACCAAUGACCAAAAGUUUUAUCUUUUGAUUAAUUACACCCAUUCAUUUAUAGUUAUUGGGAUACUAUAAAUAUUUGAAAAUAUUCCAACAAUCUCCCCCCAUUUUCAAAAUAUUUAGAUUUUGAUAUUCUUGGAAAUCAAUUUGCAUAAAUAAAGGUGUCUUACGAUUGAACCUUCACUUAGUGAAAACAUGUUAAAGUUAAUCGAAAUUGUAUGGUAGACUAAGCUUUGAACCAACUAUUCCAUUUGAUUAAUUGAACACAUCUCACACAAUGAUUUCAACAUCAGUCAAUGCAUAGUAUCUAGGGACACUAUUAUAGCCAUGUGUCUAUGUCCUCUUUUCAUGAGUGCUGUCAGAGCCAAGCCCUUAAGCUCCUAGAAGCGGCCACACUUCCACUCACAUAGGUAGAUCCCAUCAAAAGUGUUCCCGUAAUUAUAACACUCUAACAUAUUUAUGUUAUGGGUCCAUUAAGAGUAAAUUACUCAUCCUUCCCUUAUCAUUACGGGUACCUAGCACUUUAAUCUUAGGAUGGAUUUAUUUAUAGUGCUAACAGUCACAUACUAAUGAUGUACUUUGUCUCAUUGAACUCAAGACUUGACGUUAUACCAAGCAUUGAGUCGAGUUUCCAUCAUGGGUGACUCUAAUUAAUAGGCUUGAGUCCCAUCCCUUUUGAGGUCCUUUUUACUGCAUCUCUAGCAAGACUUUUUGUCAAAGGAUCUGCCAAAUUUUCACUUGACCUCACAUAAUUAAUAGUGAUCACUCCAUCAGAGAUUAAUUGUCGGACAUAACUAUGUCUUAAUCCAAUGUGUCUAGACUUUCCAUUAUAUACUUGGCUAUAUGCCUUUGCUAGAGUAGCCUCACUAUCACAACGGAUAGAAAUAGGUGAAAUUGGCUUAAGCCAUAAACGUACAUCAUAAAGCAAAUUUCUUAACCAUUCUGCUUCUUUAGAUGCAGCGGCUAAUGCAAUAAAUUCUGCUGCCAUGGUGGAAUCAGUAAUACAUGUUUGUUUCUUGGAACCCUAAGAAAUGACUCCUCCACCAAGAAUGAAGAUCCACCCACUAGUAGAUGCAUGAUCUUCCAAACUUGUAAUCCAACUAGCAUCCGAAUACCCUUCUAAAACUGGAGGAUAUCCAUUAUAACACAAUCCAUAGUUAAUAGUUUUCUUUAAGUACCUAAGUACUCUAUUUAAAGCUUGCCAAUGCAAACUACUUGGAUUAUUUGUGUAUCUACUCAAUUUUCCAAUAGCAUAUGCAAUAUCUGGUCUUGUACAAGUCAUUAUGUACAUAAGAAAACCAAUUGACUUGCAUAUUUCAAUUGAUCAAUUUUCCUACCAGCAUUAGAUACUAAUUUUAAUUGAGGAUCCAUGGGUGUAGAUACUGGUAUACAGUUGAAAAUAUCAAACUUUUUAAGCACAUUUUCAAUGUAAUGUGAUUGUGAUAAAGCUAUAGUGCUUUCAUCUCGGGUUAUUUUAAUCCCAAGAAUAACAUCUUCUACACCCAUAUCCUUCAUAGCAAAGUUGUUUGACAAGAAUUUCUUUGUGUUUUCUAUUUGUUCCAAAUCCGUGCCAAAAAUGAGCAUGUCAUCUACAUAUAAGCAAAUUAUAACACCCUUUCCAUUAUCAAAUUUACUAUAUAUGCACUUAUCGGAUUCAUUUAUUUAUAGCCAUUAGCUAAAACAACCUUGUCAAACUUUUGGUGCCAUUGUUUUGGUGCUUGUUUAAGCCCAUAUAAAGAUUUAACAAGCUUACAUACCUUAUGCUCUUGUCCUGGAACAACAAAUCCUUCCGGUUGCUCCAUGUACACUUCCUCUUCCAAUUCACCAUUUAAAAAUGCAGUUUUAACAUCCAUUUGGUGAACAACCAAAUUAUAUAUAGAGGUAAGUGAUAUUAAUAGUCUAAUUGUAGCAAUUCUUGCUACUGGAGCAUAGGUAUCAAAGUAAUCAAUACCUUGUCUUUGUGUAAAACCUUUUGCUACCAACCUUGCUUUAAAUUUAUCAAUGGUUCCAUCGACCUUCAUUUUCUUUUUGAAGAUCCAUUUACAACCUAUUGGUUUGGAACCUGGUGGAAGAUCAACUAAGAUCCAAGUUUGAUUUCCCAUUAUUGAAUCCAUUUCAUCAUUUAUUGCUUCUUUCCAAAAAGUAGAGUCUUGAGAUUUCACUGCUUCUUCAAAUGUAACAGGAUCAGAUUCGGUAUUAUAACAAUAAGGUAUCUUAUUGCAUAUACUUUCACCUUUUCCUUCUAUAAGAAACAUAAUGAAAUCUGGUCAAAAAUCUUUGACCUUUUUAAUCCUCUUACUUCUUCUUAAUUCUUGACAAGAUUCAUCAUUAUUAUCAAUUUGUUUCAAUGGAAUCUCAUUCUCAUUUGAAGAAUGAAUCAAUUGUUGUGGUUGUAAUUGUCUUGAUAUAGAAUUAAAUCUAUUUUCAUCAAAAAUAGCAUCUCUUGAUUCAAUAACCGUAUUAAUUGAAAUUGAAUCAUUUGGUUCAAUUACUAUGAACCUAUAUGCCUUGCUAUUAUGUGCAUAACCUAUAAAUAUGCAUUCAAUUCCUCUUUCACCUAACUUUUUACGUUUAGGUGUUGGAACUUUUACAAUAGCUCUACAACCCCAAACCUUUAAAUAAUUAAGGUUUGGUUUCCUUUUCUUCCAUUGUUCAUAGAGGGUUAUUUUAGUUUCCUUAUUAGGAACUCUAUUCAAUAUAUGACAAGCUGUUAGAACAGCUUCUCCCCAAAAACCCUGUCCAAGACCUGAAUAUGAUAACAUUGAAUUUACCAUUUCAAUCAAGACUCUAUUUUUCCUUUCAGCUACACCAUUUUGUUGUGGUGUGUAAGGGGCUGAAACUUGAUGGACAAUUCCAGUGAGUUCAAAAUAACUUGGAUUAUAGUAUUCUCCACCUCUAUCCGAUCUUAAGCACUUGAUAAAUGAUUCACACUGAAGUUCAACUUCAGAUUUAUAAACUUUAAAUUUAUCAAGCGCUUCAUCUUUUGAAUGCAAUAAAUAUACAUAACAAUAUCUAGAACAAUCAUCAAUAAAAGUAACAAAAUAUUUCUUUCCACCUAAUGUAGGAGUAUUAUGCAAGUCACAUAAAUCACUAUGUAUCAAAUCAAGCAAUUUUGUUUUCCUUUUAACCUUAGGGAAAGGAUUUCUUGUAAUUUUAGUCAACAUACAGGUAUUGCAUUUUUCAAUAUUAUUAUUAAAAACAGGAAUUAAAUCUAAUUUAUACAUGUCAUUCAAUUUUCUAUAAUUCAAAUGACCUAAUCUAUAAUGCCACAAACAAAAUGAUUCAACCAUAUAAGCAGAAAUAGUAUUUUUAUUCUUAUUAAUAAUAUUAAGUUUGAACAUGCUUUCAUACAUAUACCCUUUUUCCCACAAAAAUUCCUCCCUUAGACAAAAUAAACUUAUCUGCCUCAAAAACAAGUUUGAAACCAAACUUAUUCAACAGACUUCCAGACACUAAAUUUUUCCUAACUUCUGGUACAUAAUAUACAUCAUUUAAGGUUAAAACCUUUCCAGAAGUGAAUUGUAGUUCAACAGACCCUUUGCCUUUAAUUUGCGGUGGAAGAAUUUCCCAUGUACAAGACAUUGUCAUUUUCACAUUGUGUGACUUUGUGAACAUGCUUUUGUCUUUGCACACAUGUUUGGUUGCUCCGGUAUCAAUCCACCAUGUAUUAUCAUCUUGUACCAUAUUAAUUUCAGAUAUCAUUGCAACGAACUUUUCGUUAUUAUCAGCCUUAGAAGAUGAUUUCUUCUUUAAAAAUCGAUAUUCAUUCUUGAAAUGUCCCGGCUUUCCACAAUGAUAGCAUGAGCCCUUUUGUUUCUUUUUGAACUUAGGUGCUCUAUCAGCCUGAUUGAACUUUCUUUUGAAUGGUUUAGUAGUCUGUACUUCCUCCGUAACAUGUACUUUGGCAUUUUCAGAAUUUAGGUUCUGAUCUUGUUGUCGAUACUCUUCUUCAAUACGAAGAUGAUUUGCCAAAGCCUCAAGAGAUAUUUCCUCUUUCUUAUGUUUUAGACUUCUUUUAAAGUCUUUCCAAGAUGGAGGAAGUUUGUCUAUUAUAGAGGAUACCACAAUUAUUUCAUCCAUUUUCAUAUCAUAUUGCUUAAAUUGAUUCAACAUCUUUUCAAUAUCACGAAAUUGUUCCAUAACAGAACGACCAUCAACCAUUUGAUAAUUAUUGAAACGACUGACAAGAAAUUUCUUACUUGUAACAUCUUCGGUCAUGUAUCUUGCCUCCAAUUUGUCCCAUAAAUCUUUAGCGGUGACGUCGUUUUGGUAGGUGUCGAACAAACCAUCAGAUAAACCAUUCAAUAUGUGGCCCAUGCACAUGUAAUCAGCAUUGUCCCAUUUUUGUCUUUCUCGGGUUGCAGCAAUAGAUUCGUUUUCAUUCUCUUCAGGUCUUGGAGUAUCCAAAACAUAAGCAAUCUUCAAAGUUGAUAACAAAAAGUGCAUCUUUUUCUGCCAUCGUCGAAAAUUGCCACCAUCAAAACGAUCAAGUUUAACAAAGUUGGAAGCCAACUCCCUUAGUGUUCCACUUUCAUGUGUUGUGGUAGUCAUCAUGAAAUAUAACCUUAAAAUUGUUAGUACAAAACUCCGGUAAGGAAAAAAACUCGAACACACGAUCGGAACUCGAAAAGAAAAAGAAGAAAUAGGACAGGCUCCAAGGCAUGUAUCAAGCCACUAUCUUUAAGGUUAUAUUCGCCCCCACUUAUCUUCAGUGUGCAAACGAGUUCCAAGCAAAUUAACCUCGAGGAUACAAUGAAGCCAAUGACUAUUUGCGUUUUGUACUGACGAGAAUAGUCCACUAUGCACUGAGUAAUGUAUAACAAAAACUCAAUUUCUACAAAGGAUUUCUGCAGCAAUACUUUAUAGAAUAAUCUAAUAAUAUUAGAAAAUGAAGGAAGAGAAGAAAUAGUAUUAGAAUUUGUUGAUAUGAUUUCCAAAUGAAAUCCCAUUCCUAUUUAUAGGAAUUUUCAUGUCUCUUCAUAGAGACAUCUUUCAAUAGGUGUCUUUAUGAAUAAAUAAAUAAUAAUAAUUAUUCAUUUAAUUUUGUAACUAUUCAAAUAAUAUUUUUUGAAUAGUUAUAAUUCUUUUUUAAAAAAUCAAAUGAUAUAACUUUUGACCAAUGACCAAAAGUUUUAUCUUUUGAUUAAUUACACCCAUUCAUUUAUAGUUAUUGGGAUACUAUAAAUAUUUGAAAAUAUUCCAACACAUUGCGGGCUACAUCUGUGAACAAAUCAAAACAAAUGGUACUAUAAUCAACAAAUGAAUAUAGGAAACAUAAAAUUUGAACAAAGGCGAUGUGCAGAGGAAAAAGCAACAACAUAAGACUUACAUUCAAGAAAUGGAAUAAGGUCUAAAAGUGCGGUAUCAUCAGUCUCGACCUUAUAUGGCUUAAUAUGGACACAAUUUUCUGGUUGAAGGCUAGAAUCAAAUGCAUGAGCACUCACAUAUAAAAUCUUGGUUGGAUCCCUGUUUAGCUUUGAAAGAUCCUGCCAACAGGAACUAUUUGUUAACAAUAAGGCUUCUUUUUAAGUAGCAGCUUGUAAAGGCACUGUCUCAUAUAUUAAUUCACAUAGUAUUGUAGAAACUAAGGAGGAGAAAACCAAAAGCAAAAUGUUUUGAAGGGAAGAGAUUGACUAUGACAUGGUAAAAGUAUCAUGGAGGCCCCUAUGUUAGGAGUUAGAUUGCCUUUUGCCCCCUUUACUCAAAAACUGGAUAAAUUAGUCCCUAUAUGUUAGAUUAAAGAGUAAGCUAGACUUUCUGUUAAAAAUUUCAUCCAUUGCUACUGUUAAAAACUGGUGCAGUUGAUAAAAUAACCAAACAGUUACACAUAAUGUGUCACGUGUACCUCAUGCUAAUGUAUAUGGACCAAUUUUUAACAGUAGAAAUGGAUGGAACUUGUAACAGAAGGGCUGGUUUGCUUUUUAAUCUAAUUUACAGGGAUUAAUUUGCCCAUUUUUUUAGUAAAGGGGUGAAAUGCAAUAUGACUCCUAGUAUAAGGGCCUCCAUGGUACUUUUACCACUAUGACAUACUCUAUAAUGCUUGCCAUCCUGAUAUUUAGUAGCACCCCUUGAUAGCCUAUAUCGUAUACAAUGGUUAGUGUCCAACCUUUCACAAGCAGGAUCAACAUACCGCAUAGCCAAAAACAAAAUAAUUAUGAACUUGCAGGCAACAUCAGUUAUAGUAUAUCUGAAAAAGAUAAGGAAAAAAAACUGUUACUUUCAUAUCUAAUUUCUUUAUAGUAUUAGGACAAACUAAACAAUGGAUAUAUCACAUUAUUAAGACUUAGCUAAGGAGCCGCUGAUAUACAUUCAAAUGAUCAAUCAUAAAGGAUGAACUAGGAGGCCUAAUGAUAAAUCAAAAUUACACCUAAACCAGUUAUAUGUCUAAAGGCAAUUGCACAUUAUAUCAAUCAAACAACUAAAAUAAAUAGAGAAAAUCCUUUAAAAUAUUCAAUUUCUAAACAAAAUCAAACUCACAUCAAUAGCAGAUCUUGACAAAGAAACCCAAAAUCACAAAUGAUCCUAUCUUUUUAAAAGGGGAAAAAGAAAACUUACUAUAAGAGAGAUAACCAGCAUAGCCAGUAGUUCCAGUAACACCUGCAAUGAGUCCGUACUUGACAAAGCUCUAAAUUUUCCCUCCCGAAACCUGUGGGGCAACUUUCGGCGCCAGAGGAGGAGGUGUCGACUGAUCGGAGAGAAUGGAUUGUGAAGAACAAUCCAAACUUAAUUUACAAGCAAUGUGGAAAUUUUGGACGUUGCAGUAUUGACUACGUUUACUUGAGGGAAAACAAAGACAUGAAUGCUGGAAAUUUUAACUAGUUUGUACGGUCAAUGAAGCUACCUCGAAUGUUAAAUAUGUUACUCUGCAAUGCCAUUGUAAAUAUGACUGUUAAAUUUGUUGAUAGCGGAAUUGUUCCACUCAAGUUAUUGUGGGACAAAUCAAGAAUUUGAAGAAAAGUGACAUUGCAUGUUAAACAAGAGACCUCUCCAUUGAAACUAUUAUUUGAGAUCAGAAAGACAUUGAUUGUCGAAGCUGGAAUCGGAAGAUUUCCACGGAUCAAAUAGGAGCUUAAGUCAAGAACUACAAUAUUCUUCCAUGGAAAGUGCAAAACUUCUGUCAAAGAGUUGCUGUAAUUGGAUUAAUCUCAUCGUUGCUGCAAUCUUUUGACAAAUCGAAUCUUAAAUAUGUUACUCUGCAACGCUAUUGUAAAUGUUACUCUUAAAUAUUACUCUGUAACUAGAUUGAUGGCUCAAUCUUGUUUUUAACAUUGUUAUGGGUAUUACUACUUUCAUGCUUUGAUACGCGAUACCCUCUUUCUAGGUGACAUUUUUGCUCCUUCCGGGCCACCAUGGGCUCUCUGCAUCACUCACCAACCUCAUUAGAUUCCCCGGGUGCCAUUUGGCCAUCUCAAGUCUCAAAAUAGCAUCAAAAUGCACUCUAAUAAUUUAUUAAUAUAAAGAACUAAAACAAAAUAAAAACACAACAAAGAUAUCUAAAUUGCACGAAAAUAAGCUUUUAAGUGUGAUGGAGAGUCUAAUUUGACAUAUCAAUUAAUGUUUGACUAUCUCCAUCUCACUUUUUAUUAAUUAAGGAAUAUGAAUUAGAAUUAAUAUAAACUUACUAUUUUAACAUUUCAUAAGCAAAAGCUAAAAUAAUAUUGGUCACAUCCCAUAUCUUCAUAUAUAGCUUAUCAGACAAAAGUUAAAACAGCCUUCAGUUCAUCUACAUUCUACAUUCCACGUCGAAUCUGCAAGCAUCAAAUAUUAACCUUUGAACUCCAAAAUAACAACACCAAUUUCCAGCAAUUGCAGAAGAAUGUCCAAUAAUUCCACACAAAUUAACAACAAUUUGCCAGCAUCCACUACAUUCGUAUGAAUUCCACACAAAUUAAGACUGGAAACUCUAACUUGUUCAUACCCUCAAUGAAGCUACCUAAAAGUUAUGAAUUCCACUGCAAAUUUUGUAUUGCUUGGAAUGAAUUGACUGUAAUUUCCUAUUACUUGCCACAAAAUUUUCUUUUACUGCUAACUUGUAAAAAAAUUAUGAAAAUACAACAGAGAUCAUUGAGACAUUUUGUUCUCCUUUCUCCUUUACUGAGCAGUAGCAAAGAUUAUCGAGACUAAAUUGAAAGUCAUGAAAGAAGACAUAAACAACACCACCAUACAAAAUGUUACACUCAAACAAACCAUUACAGAUAGUACGAAAUGCAAUGAAAGACACAGGAAUUGGUACAACAAUAAAGACAGACACAUACCAAUGCAACCCUUCACCAUAGGCAAAACGGUCUACAGAAUAAGAAAUUAUGAAAAUACAACACUAAUUCUUGAACAUCAUUUCCAGUAAUUAGAUCCUUCUUCGUCUAUUGCUUCGAUUGCCUUUCUUUGACUUUCUUCUUCGCCUCAUCUCUUGUUGGUUUUCAACCAAAUUCACCAACCAUUUCGGCUUACCAAUUUGGAAAACAACAUAUCCCACGGACAUUCCGAACACCACUCUGCAUCCAUAACCUAUCAACACCACUUUCCAACCAAAAGCAAUGUUUGAUUUUGAGCCAUCUUUUUCAAGCGCAUUUGGAGGUGCUGGCUCAAUGAUGUUGCAACCUUUCGAGACCGGAAACCCACACAGUCCAUUAUUCCCUUCAUAUGAAUCAUUUCCAAAUGUGUUGAAUUGUUUUCCUUGAGGAAUCUGACCAUGGAGUUGAUUUUCAGCGACAUUGAAGGACGAAAGAAAUGGCAGAUCUGCCAAUCUAUUUGGAAUCGUCCCAGACAACCUGUUUGAAGAUAGGUCCAACCAUUCAAUACUUGUCAAAUUCCCUAUUGAUGUGGGAUACCACCAUUAAGGUUAUUAUGAGAAAGGUUGAGCCCUUUCAGUAAGUUAAGCUUCCCAAAAACCUUUGGAAUACCCCCUUCAAACUGAUUGUUUGAUAGAUCAAUGAUCAUCCACAUGGUGAAAAUUUUCACCAAUUCCAUAUAUUGUCCUUUCAUAACAGUUCCGAUGGAAUAGGUAUAGAAGCCAUUACCUCUCGGAACAUACAUCCCCAUGUACGACAUUGUACUCCCAAUCUUCUCUAGAUUUAUGAUACCCUUGAAGCUGUUGAUGUAUCUCACUGGUAGGGGUCCAGAAAAAUAAUUACUUGAGAGAAAAAAAAUUUGGAUUUUAGAGAAAAAAGGGCUAGACUUGGAGCUAUUGUCACAUAAGGAACCAUGCAUAUGAUUUGACUUCAAUACAAGAACUUGUAGCUGUGGAAGACUUCCCAACCAAUGAGGAAAUGUAUCAUUGAUCUUGUUCUUCUUCAGAUUCAAGAAUUGAAGGCUGUAGCUCAAAUUUUCAAAACAUUGCGGAAUUGUUCCGCUCAAGUUAUUGUGGGACAAAUCACGAAUUUGAAGAAAAGUGACAUUGCAUAUUAAAGAAGAGACCUCUCCAUUGAAACUAUUAUUUGAGAUCAGAAAGACAUUGAUCGUCGAAGCUGGAAUGGGAAGAUUUCCACGGAUCAAAUUGGAGCUUAAGUCAAGAACUGCAAUAUUCUUCCAUGGAAAGUGCUCAACUUCUGUCAAAGAGUUGUGAGAUACAUUUAAGUCAAAGAGCCAUUGCCCACCUCUUGCAUCCACUGUGGAAUCUUGCCUUCAAUUUUGUUGCAAGAGAGGUCCAAGCUUUCCAAACUUUUAAGCCCUUAUAAAAACUGGGGGAAUUCACUAAGAUUGAAAGAUGACAAACGUAAGUCUAUAAGAUUAGACAAUAUAUGGUUAACACAAGAAGUAGUAUUAAAUGUUAAGGAUAGGCUGUUAUAUGAAAGGUCGAGAAGUUUUAGAGUUGGAAGGUUUGAGAACAUGCGAAACUCUAUGACACCACUAAGAUUAUUUGAGGAUAAAAGGAGGUGGGUAAGAUUGAGAAGUUGGAAUAUUGAAGAUGGAAGAGGACCUUGGAGUUUAUUAUUGUUUAACCUUAUCAAUUCUAGUGUUUUG